UUCCAUCCCAGAUGAUAUUGGUAUUUACAUUUCCUUCACUCUUUUCUUCUCGCUUUCGAAGAAUAACAUCACUGGAGUUAUUCCUGAAUCAAUAUGCAAUGCCAGUUACCUGCAAGUUCUUGACUUCUCUGACAAUGCUUUUAGUGGCAAAAUACCCUCAUGUUUAAUUCAGAAUGAGGCUCUUGCAGUGUUGAAUCUGGGGAGGAACAAGUUUAAUGGCACUAUACCAGGGGAAUUCAGGCACAAGUGUCUUUUACAGACACUAGAUCUCAAUGAGAAUCUUUUAGAAGGAAACAUCACAGAAUCUCUAGCCAAUUGCAAAGAGUUAGAGAUUUUAAACCUUGGGAACAACCAAAUUGAUGAUAUCUUUCCUUGCUGGUUGAAGAACAUAACCAAUUUGCGUGUCCUUGUUCUGCGAGGCAACAAAUUCCAUGGGCCCAUUGGGUGUCUCAGGAGCAAUUCCACCUGGGCAAUGCUUCAGAUAGUUGACCUAGCAGACAACAACUUUAGUGGUAAGUUGCCAGAAAAAUGCUUCUCGACCUGGACAGCAAUGAUGGCGGGUGAAAAUGAAGUCCAAUCCAAGCUCAAACACCUGCAAUUUAGGGUUCUACAAUUCAGUCAAUUGUACUAUCAGGAUGCUGUAACAGUUACCAGCAAAGGUCUAGAAAUGGAGUUGGUGAAGGUCCUAACUCUCUACACCUCUAUUGACUUGUCGUGCAACAAUUUUCAAGGGGACAUACCAGAAGUGAUGGGGAACUUCACAUCGCUCUAUGGUCUCAACUUAUCGCAUAAUGGUUUCACAGGCCAUAUCCCAUCGUCAAUAGGGAAUCUGCGACAACUUGAGUCAUUAGACCUCUCGCAAAACAGGCUGAGUGGAGAGAUACCUACACAGCUUGCGAACCUAAAUUUCCUUUCAGUCCUGAACCUCUCAUUCAAUCAAUUGGUGGGAAGGAUCCCACCAGGUAAUCAAAUGCAAACAUUUUCAGAAGCUUCUUAUGAAGGGAAUAAAGAACUGUGUGGGUGGCCUCUGGAUCUAAGUUGCACUGAUCCACCACCAUCUCAAGGCAAGGAAGAAUUUGAUGACAGGCACUCAGGUUCCAGGAUGGAGAUUAAGUGGGAAUACAUAGCUCCUGAAAUUGGGUUUGUGACAGGAUUGGGAAUCGUGAUUUGGCCUCUAGUGUUGUGCAGGAGAUGGAGGAAAUGCUACUACAAACAUGUUGAUAGAAUUCAUUCAAGGAUUCUCCAAGGAAGAGCAAGUGGUGGAAGAAGAGCUCACAGAAUUCGGAGGCGGAGAAUGUAGCCGUGGUGCAGAGGGAUGAAGUGAUUAGUCAAGAGUCCAUUUCCAUUAAUCCAAUCCUAUGUUUCAUUGAAGGAAUAUUAAAAAGGGGUCAUAUUAUUGGAUGGACCUUCAGUCCGUGUGUCAAAUGUGAUUCUGGCUUGCUUCUUAUAAAUUUAAUCGAAUGCAUAAUUUUAUAUUUGGACAAUGUCAUGGUGAAGUAGAUUUUCAAAGUAACAUUAUUCUUACUUUUUAGUGAUGCGAGUAUCAAUGUGCUUCUCUAAAAUAUUAUACUAAUAAAGAAUUUAAGUUGUAAAACCACUUCAUGAAAGCUUUUCUACAAAAGCAUCAAAUCUUAAAUUUGGCCAAAAAACUUUUUAACCUUCAAAUCUCUUUGGUUUUAGUCAAUAAAAGCCAUUUUGACCAAUGUAAGGAUUUUUAAAUAUUAAAAAAUUUAGCCAAGAAAAAAAUAUAACGUGUUAAAUUUAAGAAAUUUGGAAACUCUUCUUCUUCAGGGAAGGCAUUCAAGCUGAGCAGGAGAUGGUCUAGGAUAUGUUGGCUGGAUGUGGGCCCGAGUUGGGUCAAACUUGAUUGGCUGGAUUUCGGUCAUUAAUAAAAUAUGGGCCUGAUUGGGACAAACGAAGAGCAGCCGAGGUAGCUAGGACCAUAUUCAGCCCAAUCAACACAUCUCAAGCCAUAAGGGAUACAACAUUGAUAAGCAAGUAAUUAUCAUACUAGGUAGUAAGGUGGCUGCCCAUCUACUUAUAAAAGUUUCAUCCUCUUACAGGCUUUCACAUUAAAUUUGGAAAUGGUUCUCACUUUAUUUUAUUUUUUACCACAUUUUUUUAUUAUCUUGUUAAUUUAUAGGAACAAAAAAUCUUUAUCAUUUUUUUUAUAGUCCAUUGUUCCAAUGAAAUUAUUAAACAAUGAUAAGAGUGAGAUUUUCAAAAGUAGAAGAUGAAUCAAUAUAACUUGCAAAUUCUUAGAUUUUAAUGGAAUUUGAAAAUUACUAAUAUUAUUAUGCAAGUGAAAUAACAACAUGAACUUGAAAAAUUAAACCCAAAACCAUCUCUAAAAUUAUCAAUAUCCAGGCCCAACUUCACAUUCAACUUGAAUAUCUCUAAACAAGUUUAGUCCUUUCUGUUUUUCAAUUUUCUUUCACUUUUUUUUUUUUCUAGAAUUAGACACUUUUUGGAUACCAUGAAAAAGAUUGCUAGCUAGGAAUGUAAAGCAUGGUUUUUUAGCUAGAAUGAUAAGUUAAGUGCUCAUAUAUAUUUUGAAUCAAAUUUAAGAGAAAGUUCCUUACGACCCUUAGUGAAUUGAUUUUCACUUAACUACCCAUAUUUCUAAUAUGAUACAAGGAUUCCAUAUAAUCCAAAUAAGAACUUUAUUUUUAUGUGAAAUCUAAUCAAAGCUCUAGUUGAAGCCAUCUAAAUUUAUUAUUUGAUAUUUAAGCUCUAAUUGAAUCCAUUAGAAUUAUUAUUUGAAUUUUAUACAUAUUAGACAUCAUUUAGACUUGUUUUAGACAAUUCAUAUAUCUUGUUUUCCAGGAAAUUUGAUUUCUUCGUCCAAACUUGAUGUAUUGGAACAUACUUUCAAAUUUAAUUAGGAACAAAUGUCUCAAUUUUUCUCAAAUAAUCAUCUUUUUCAUUCUAAUAUCUUACAUGAUGAUUUGUAGAAGUUGAAACUCGAUAACCUUUUUACUAAGAUCCUUGUUACCUUGCACUAUAAUGUUUAGUAGAUAAGCUUUUAGUUUUCUAGUGACACAAAUGUUAGAGAUUAGUAGAGAAUGGAAAUCUUCCAAACCUAGAUUUUACUGAUACUCAACGUGUAUGUGGACUGCAUUUGAGUAAAACCAACCAAACACACUAAGAAAUAAGCUACUUGGAAAAAAAUAAUAAAAAUUAUAUUAGAAAAAAAUCCAUAUGCUCCUGCAAUAGAGUUGACAACAAUUUACAAAGACAAAUAAAACAUUCAUAAGAAAAGAAUGUAUACAAUUUAUUCAUAUCUUUAGGCCAUGAGAUUACUAUAUAAUGUUGCAAAAUGGAGUUGACACACCUUAGAAAGGAUCUAAUGUGUUAUUCUUUAAAUCUAAAGGUUCUGAUACCAAUUGUUAGAAAAACACCCACUAUAUAUAGAUUAAAGAGUGCAACUAAGAUUCUAGGCAUAAUGAAAAUGAAAGUUGUUUAAUUUUUCAAAAAAUUAUUCUAGGAUGUUCUUAGAAAACAUACCUUUGGAUUCAAAUGUUCCCAGAUAUUUUUUCCAAUUUGCAAUAGAAAUCUCGAAUGUCUCGUGACAUUUGGAUCUUGUCUAUGGAUAAGUAUAGACUUUUCUCUAGAGGGAGUGAUGGCUACUAGGGUUUUCUUUAAACUAAGUGAAAGACAACAACUAGUCUAAGCUUAAAUGACUAAGAGGAUUUAAAUAGACUCUCAACUAGGCUUAAAUGACUAGGGUCUAUCCCAUAGGUUUGGAUCAAUUAAUUAGCCUAAUGGGUCUUAUUUAAUUAAUUAGCCUAUUGAGAAUGUCUAUUGCCACCUUCCUAAACCACCAAUAGUCCAAUCCAUUAGGAAUAUAUGAUCACUUAGGAUCUUACCAUUUGUCAUGACUUUUGGUAGGUCUUAUUCAAUAUGUAACCAUACAUGCUAGCACAUUUACUAUGUGAAAACCAUCCUGAUACCUAAGACAUGUCAUCCAAAAAUUAGGAGGUAAUGCAUUAUAAUUUCUAUAGAUUGUCAUCUUAGUCCGUGAACCAACCUUAAACAAGCUUAUCCCAGAAUUGCCAAAAGGGGAGAUCGUAAGUGAUUAUCAAGGUUGGCAAUUCUAUGCAAAAAAAAAUUAUCCAACCUUCUAAUUUAGUUUUUCGAAUCCUUCCUUGGGCUACUGGCCUAAUGAAAAUCAAGUGUUGAAUUUUCUUAAAGGUCAAGGUAUAUAGUUGAGAUUGUAGAUGGGUGAAAUUAAAUCAACCAAAAUUUUCAAAUUGCUAUUUAUCUUGAACUAUUUUUUAUUUUUUUUUAAAGUGUUGAAGAGGCAAAGGCAACAAGUUUUUUCAACUAAGUGUUCAUGUGCCCUAUACCAGGAUCAAUCCAAAUUUGGGUAAGAUUGAUCCAAUUUUUGUUUGAUCUUUUCUUAGCCAUUAGAUCAAGGGUUUCUUUCCUUUUAAGACCAAAAUGCCUUCAGUUUGGGAUUAAGGAAAGACUUGUCGUCGUUCUUCUUCCCUCUUGUGCUCUCUCUAUCCUUACCUAAUUAAGGGUAUUUGAAAAAAAAAUACAUGUUCAUUUUGAUUUCCAAACUAUUUUCUAAUGGAUUUUCUUAUAAAUAAAAAAAUGGGUUUCUUUUGUUCCAUUCAUCUCUCAAUUUCCUAUCUAUUUAGGUUUUGAGUAGAAACCUAUUUUCUUAUUGAUUGAGCUUCCAAAAGAGGCUGAGAUCAAUCUUGGUCAGGACUCCAAGUAUGUUUCGGAAGAUGGAAGCAUAUGGCUGAAGUAAGAAGGUGUUGGUCAAGUUGUUUGUUAAGGAUUAGUAGACUUGAGCUAAGUAAAUUCUUAUACACAUUAAUUAUUCUUCAUAGUAGAUUUCUUUAUCAUUGACCGGCCCAUGGUUUUUUUCAUCUCUUAAGAGAUUUUCCACAAAAUCUAAUGUCAUUGUCUCUCUUUUUCUCAUUCUACUCUUUGAUUUAUUUCUAGUUAUCGAUAUCAUCUGUUACUUGAGCAUGUAUGUUGAAAUGAUGAAAUAUGAGUUGAAAUUGGUGUGAUUAUCUUUUGGAUAUAUUUUGAAUAAUUUUUUGUUCAAUUUGAUAAAGAUAUCAAGAAGUAAUUGAAAAUAUAUUAAGGAGGAUUUUUUCUUAUAAAUUUGUGUUAAGGAGUGUUAAAGCAUUUACAUAUGACUUGCAUUUAUAAAUUGUUAGAAGUAUAUUGAUGUAUCCAUGCUUGCUUGUGAUUUUUAUUUAUUAUUGAAAAGUAUUUGAAGAGAGGAAUAUAGGUUGUGAGAAAUUUUAACGAAAGAUAAUAUAUGUUGGGAAACCGUUUUUGAAUUUUUAAAAAAAAUACUUAUUCCCUUCUCCUCCUAUAGGUGUAGUUCAUCAUUGAGAUUCACUCUCAAAUUCUUUUAAGGAUUCCCCGCAACUAAGACCAAGGAAGAGCAAAUCAUGGAAGCAGGGCUUCCAGGACUUAGAGGCCAAGAAUCUAGCCACCACUAGUGAGAAGGAUCUAGUUUGAGUGUAUUGUAUUUCUAUUAGAUAGAAAAUAUGCUUUCUACCAAUUUGUAAAAAAGCUUUAAACGUACCUAAAAUAAAAUUCUAAUUUGGGAGAUCCAUGAAGUCAUUCAAGUUAAGAGGUUAAGAUAUGUUGGCUAGAUCUGGGCAAGAGUUGGGUUACACGUGAUUGGCCCAAUUGGUACAAAGCAAGACCAACUAAGGUAGUAGGCCCAUGUUCAGCCCAAUCAACACAUUUGAAGCCAUUAGUAGUUUAGUAAAGAUGUAAGAAAGAAAAAACUUCAUCAUUUUUCUCUUAAUCCAUUCUUCCAAUCAUCAUUUUAUCACUUCCAAGAAAGAUUAAACAAUGAGACAAGUACGAGAUUUUUCAAAGUAAAUCUUGAAUCAAUAUAAUUUCUUAAUUCUUAGUUCUUAAUGAAAUUUGAAAAUAAUGAAUAUCUUUAUACAAGUGAAAUAACAGUAUGAACUUGAAAAAUAAAACACAAAACCAUAUUCUCAAAUUAUCAAAGUCCAUGCCCAACUUGACAUUCAAAUCAAGUAUCUUUAAACAAGUUGGAGCAGGGAUUUCGUGUCAUUCCCUCCCCCUCGAAGAGUCCUUGUCCUCAAGGACGGAACUCCGGGUAUGCUUCGCUAGUCCAAUCUCCACAAGCCAAUCCCCAAACUCCUUAUUGAUCUUCCUCUCGAUAUACGAUCGAAUCUCCGGGAUCUGCUUCUCUAGCAUUUUCCGCAGCGUCGACGACGGAGUUUUGUCAAUGAANNNNNNNNNNNNNNNNNNNNNNNNNNNNNNNNNNNNNNNNNNNNNNNNNNNNNNNNNNNNNNNNNNNNNNNNNNNNNNNNNNNNNNNNNNNNNNNNNNNNGGAGAACGCAUGGCGAUUCUCCAAAGCAUACCCGGUAGUUUCGUCCUUAAGGACAAGGACUUUUCGAGGGGGAGGGAAUGAUACGAAAUCCCUGCUCCAACUCCUAUUUGCUUGCAGAUCACAGUUACGUGGGCAACACCUCAACACCUAGCUUGAAUUUUGAUUUGUUGCUACCUCCCUAGACUUAGGCCACUAUUUGUGUUUCAGUUGAUGUUUCAAUUGUCUGUGCAUCUAUAAAUGCACCUGCAUGAAGUUAAUAAAGCAUGGCAGAAUUCAAAACUUCUAUCUCCUAUCUCUCCUGUCAUCUCUUAAAUUAAACUCAUCAACUAGUUGUAAUCACCAACACCAGAAUGAGAAGUAAUCAUUGCAACAAGUUGAUUGUUUACAGAAGGUUGAAAAGAAUGAUCAAAACGAUAAUAGCAAUUGACCAUAUUUGUCACAAAUUUGGCAUUGUGGCCUACCACCAUUUCUAGAAAAAUUAGGUCCUGAGAAAUUAGCAAAAUUGUUUCCAAAAUUACCUUGAUUAUUACCUCUACCUGAAUUUCCCUUGGAAUAGAAACCACGUCCGCAACGACCAAACUGUUUCUGAUUGAAUUGCGAUAGACUCUGGUUAAGGUUUCUUCUUUGAAACUUGCAUUGACUAGUCCUUUGAUUUUUUAUUUUUUUUAUAGUUGUUUCCUUGCGAUUGUAGAAAGGCUACGCUUGCUUGAAGAAGAUUGGUUUCAUCAGUGGCAUUCUGUUGCUCUAAGCGAUGCUUGUAACUAAGCAACAUAUUAUGUGUCUCUUCUAAAUGCAGAGGUUCAUGCUUAGAUGUUAUAGAGACCACAAAGGAGUUGUAAUCAGCUGCUAAACCGCCAAGCAAAAAAAGAACGUGGUCUUGUUCAAAAAUUGAUUCUCUGAUUGCAAUAAGAUUAUAUGCAAUAGAUUUCACCUUGUGAAGAUAUUCCAUCAUAUUCAAACCAUGUUUCUUCAUAGUCUGAAGUUAAAGACGAAGUUGCAUAAUUCUAGCCUUUGAUGCAGCAAAGAAGAAUUUCUCGAGAGCACUCCAGAUUUCAGAAGUGGAAGUGAGACCGAUGAUUUGAGACAUUACAUUCUCGAAGAGAGAUGAAUAAAUCCAGCACAUGACUAGAAGAUUUUGUCGUUGCCAAAUCUGAAAAUCUGGGUUCGUACUUUUAGAGUUCUCAAGAAAUUUUGGAAGACAAGGUCGUGAGCCAUCGAUCAUCUCCUCAACUCCAUUAGCGAUUACAAUAUUCAGCAUCUGAGUACGCCAUAGAAGAUAAUUUGAGCGAUCAAGCCUGAUGGUGAAUGCUUGAUUCAGAGAUUGCAUUAUCGAAGUUGUAUUUGGGCUUGAACUAGUACCAUUUUGGUGAGAACAACAAGUAUAGAGGAAGAGAAAUCUUCAAACAUCAUGGAAAGAGAGCUUCAAGGAUCACAAGCUCUAAUACCAAGAUAAAAUAUAAAGAUCUGCCUCUUAUUUGAGAGAGUGUUACAAAGAGAUAUCUUGAAGAAGAAAGUUUCCUCUGUUUUUUAUUCUUAGUCAAAUACCCAGUACUCACAGUGAAUGUUGAAAUUGGUAUGUUUCUUUUUGCUUAAAACUUUGGAUCCUAGCCAUCCAAAAAAAAAAAAAGGCUUAACCAAUAAUUGAUAAGUGUCUGCUGAAUGUAUGAUCCAAAAAUUAGGUAAUUUAAUAUUUUAAAAAGUUAUUUGGAAAUAUAUUUAUAUUGGGAGUAAUAUUACAACAAUUUCAAUGUAUAUUACAAUUCAACGACUUCAAUAUUAUAUUUUUAAAAUAAAAUUUUCAUUAGGAAUAAAUAAUUUAUAAAACUAUGUAAAUAGAAAAUAGACAUAAAAAAAAUCGAGGGCAGUUGUAAUUAUUCAAAUAUAAUGAGGAUGAAAAUAGUAUAGGCAAUAUAAUUUGAGACCGGAAAACAAAACACAAAUAUAUAUAUAUAUGUAUAUAGAUAAAGAGGGAAUAACAAUAAUCAUGUAAUUCAUUUUUAUACGGAGUUUUAAGUCACUAUUAAUAUUAUUUUUGAAAAUAAAUUUUAAAAUUAGAAAGAAUUUAAAAUGUAAAGAGGGUAUGAAAAUUGUGAACAAUGUACUAAAAAUGUGAAGCAUGUAAACAUGGUACAAAAAAUGUAAGGAUCCUUAUAUUCUCCUCAUGUUUUUCAUAUCCUUCAAAUUUUACAUUUUGUUUAAUUUUAAAAUAUAUUUUUGAAUUGAAAUUACUAUAAAAUAUAUUAAUAAUGUUAUUUUGAGUUACUAUUAAUAGCAUUUUUGAAAAUAAAUUUUAAAAUUUUUAAAAUUUAAAAGGGUAAAAACAUGUGAGGAAGGUAAAAAAAAAAUAUAAUGAAGGUAUGAAAAAUAUGAAGAGUGUAUGAAAAAUAUGAUAGUACAAAAUAUAUGAGCAUGGUACAAAAAAUAUGAGGAUGCUCACAUUCCUAGUAACUUCUUCAUAUUUUUCCUAACCUCCAAAUUUUAAAUUUUUUAAUUUUAAAAUUUAUUUUUCAAAUUAAAAUUUCUAAUAAUAUUAUUCUGAUUUACUAUUGAUAGCAUCUUUGAAAAGAAAUUCUAAAAUUAAAAAAAAAAUUAAAGAGGGUGCAAAUCUUGUUAGGAAUGUAUGAAAAUAUGAGGAUGCAAAAAAUGUAAAAAGGGUAAAAAGAAUGUAAUUUAUUUUUUGAAUUAAAAUUAUAUUUAAAAUAAAAUAAUAAUAGAAUUUCCGGUUACUAUUAAUAGUAUUUUCGAAAAUAAAUUUUAAAAUUAAAAAUUUAAAGAAAACACAAAAAUUGUGAGAAAAGUAUAAAGAAUGUGAGGAUGAUAUGAAAAUGUAAAGAUCCUCAUAUUUUUCAUACCCUCUUCACAUUCUUGGUACAAUCCUCAUAUUUUUUAUUCUCUUAUCACAUUCUUUGUACCCUUCUCAUUUUCUUCAUACCCAUUUUUUAUACUCUUCUCACAUACUUUGUACUUUCAUCAUAUUUUUCAUACCCUUCUCACAUUUUUGUUAUAACCUCCAAAUUUUAUAUCUUUUUAAAUUAUAAGAUUCUUUUAAAAAAAGACUAUCACUAUUUCAUCUCAUCCUCUCCAUAUAAAAUUUAAAAUUACAAUAAAAGAAAUUAAUAAUACUAUUUUGAGUUAACAAUAAAUAAAUUUAAUUUUCUAAUUUUAAUAAUAACUACUUUAACUAAUAUAUUUAUGAAUGAUUUUUUUCACAUGAUCUUAAAGUUAUAACUUUAUAUCAUAAAAUAAAUAACAAUUAUUCUUUUAUGAAAUUUUUAUUAUUGCUUAAUAGAAGUAGAUUUGGAUAAUCAUUAAAUUUUUUUGUAUCCUUAUAUCCAUCAAGCCCAUUCCACACCCAAUACUUUUAAAAUUAAAACUAAUUAUAAGCCCAUAUUUGAUCCAAAACACUAAGCCCAAUUCAAUGACAAGAAAUGCUUGUAAAACUUAUAUUUGGGUCAUGCCUCCAAGCCCAAUUUGCUGGCAAGUUUGACUUACCAAGGAUGUUACAAGGUAUUUAUAGAGUACUUAAAGUACAUAGAAUUCAUGUGAUUCCAAUAUGGGAUUGAGACUACGUUGCUUCUUGGAGAGCUCUUAAAUAUUUAAGUUUAAAGUCUUUGAACCAUUGAGCAUUGUACCAUAUUUAUUAAAUGAUGUUGUUAAAAAAAAUUAUAUAUAAUAAGAAUCUAAUAUUAAUGUUUUUAUUUCAAAUUUUUUAUCAUAGAAAAUCUUUAAAGAAAUGUAAAUAUUUAAAUUCCUAUUUAUUUUUACAAUAAUAAUAUGAUAAUAAUUAUAAAAAAUAAUUUAAAUUAAUUAAUAUAAUAAUUUUAAAACAAUAAAAUACAAAGACAAAAAAAUAAAAUUAAAUAUUAUUAAUUUUUUCAUCUUAAAUAUAUCUUUAUUCUUAAAUAUUAAUUAUAUAUUUCUAUUUAAUAAAAUUUAAAAUAUUAAACUUUAUGAUUUAAUUUAAUAUAGCAAAUAUAAAAAUUAAACAUUAUUAAAAUUUGUAAUUUUAUAUAAUAUAUAAAUUAUAUAUUUAUUGCAUCACCGAUUCAAUUGCAGUUCAACCGUAGAUUCAACCAAUGAACCAUAAACCGGUAAUUUUUUCGAUUAAAUGACCAGUCCCAUUAUGAAAAUAUUGUAUAAUAUUCCAUCCAUUUAAAACAUAUGUUAAUGGCCUGGUGACUCUGGAAUGAGUUUUUUCUUAAUUUUUUAUUUUGAUUCACUCUAAAUGUAUCUCAUUCCAUUGGUUCAAAAAUGUGAGUGUGGUACUAAAAAGUACCCUACAAACUAGUUCAGACCAUUUGCAAAUAACAUUUCAAAUUUAGAUUUGUAGAAAGUUACCCAUAACUUUUCUUAUCCAAUCAUCGAGUAGUAAUUUUCAAGAUUAAUCCAAUUGAUUGUUAGAAUUCAAGUUCCCUUACCAAGUUCAAUCCAAAUCUAUUUUCUAAAAAAGUUUCCAUUUAGUAAAAAUAUAUGUUUGAGUUGCCCAGGUUAGUCGGAUUUGCAACUAUUGUUUAAACCUAACAUCAAUCUUUUACCAAUACAUUGAAAUUUAUUUAAAAAUAAAAAAACUAUUUAUAAUCUAUUUAACUAGAAGUUUAAAUGAAUCGAAAACAAAUACAAAUGAUUUGAGAGUGAGGGGGCAGUUUGUAAGAGGACCCUUUUGGUCUCAUCCAAAGUAAUGAAUUCCAUAUUGGUAGGCCUUCUGCUUCCCUCGUUUUCUUCCCAACUACCAGCCCCUCCUCACCAAACAUUAUCACUGCAUUUGUCGAUGUCCAACUUGGGUGUGGAGACUUGCAAGGAAAUUAAUUACUACAUAAAAUGUGGUGAAGUUUCGUAGAAUAAUUGUAACAAUAGCUUAGCUUGAUAGGGUUUAUUGGAGAGGACACAUAGCAAUGACUUGGGAAAUUUUAGAAAAUGAUGGGAUUAUAAUGAUGCCCAAUCGAGGAAGUAAAAAUACUUGGUAUUAAAAGCUAAAAGGAUAGAUGAAAUGUUUAUUAGAAGACUUUGAGGUCUUCUUGCUCAAGUCAAUAAGCUAAGUCUUCUUUAAGACUUGAGCAAGAGUACUACAUGUUCUCUUUUCCACAACCACUCCUGUCACUGUCACAACUAAAUUUCAUGACGCUUCCUACCGAAGUAUCGAAGUCGAGGUGCACCAAGACUUCAGUUUCAGUGUGAAUACCUUUCCCCACGAAGAGAUGUAAUGAAGCAACUUUAUAAAUCAUUGUGAAGUUUCUACGUAAUUAUAACUAUAUUUAUAGUUAUUACGAUUAAAAUUAAUAGAUGGAAACAAAAAAGUUCGGCAUAUUGUUUGGAAUAGAGAAAAGUCUUGGCAAUGAAGGCCACCUUUUCCGUGGUCCUGGAAAUGUUGUGUUAAUUCAUGAUCGGUUCCUAAAGGAAAAUUCUGACAAAAUCGUUAGAGAAAAAAGUGUAAGAAAAUGAUGAAUUGUGAUGUGACUUGAAAUGGAGUAGAUAGGAGGAAACAAGGAAGGAAAAAUCGAAGAAGUAAAUAUCAUUAAGUAAUGAAAUCACCGAAUUGGUUGGUAUGAAUAAGAUAAACAGGAAAAAUCUGUACUAUAUAUAUUUAGAAUGCUGUGGUGUUUAUGUAUAACUAGAACCCCCUUUUUUUUCCUCUUCUAAAUCAUAUUGAACAUGAUUUGUUGUAGCAGUAUCUCCCUGCUGCUUCCAUUGAGAAUUCAGCUGUUUUCAUGGCUUUAUUUCUUGCCUUUAUAUUCAAUCUUUUUCGGUAUCCAUGUUGCUUUCGUGUCCGGCGAAUGUCUCAUAUGCCGGGAGGAUCAGAUGUCUUUGUUGCUGCAACUGAAGAACACCCUCAAAUUCAAUGCUGCUGCAUCAAGUAAUCUAGUUUCCUGGAAUCCGAGCACAGAUUGCUGUUCUUGGAGAGGUUUAACCUGGGAUGCCACUGGUCAUGUUGUCGCUCUUGAUCUCAGUAGCCAAUCAAUUUCUGGUGGAUUCAGUAGCUCCAGUAGCAUUUUCAGUCUACAACAUCUCCAGAGCUUGAAUUUGGCUAACAACACCUUCUACUCCUCUCAGAUUCCAUCAGGAUUCCACAAGCUUGUUAACUUGACUUACCUGAAUUUGUCGAAUUCCGGCUUUUCUGGGCAGAUUCCAAUCGAGAUUUCACUGUUGACAAGGUUAGUAACAAUUGAUUUCUCUACCCUUUAUUACAUCCCUGGAGCUCCUACAUUGAAACUUGAGAACCCAAAUCUGACAACGCUGGUUCAGAACCUCAAUGAGCUCAGAGAACUCCAUCUUAAUGGUGUAAACAUAUCGGCCGAGGGGAAGGAUUGGUGCCAGGCAUUAUCAUCUUCAGUGUCUAAACUGCAAGUGCUGAGCUUGUCCAACAGUUUUCUUUCUGGUCCUAUUGAUUCUUCUCUGAAGAAGCUUCAAUCCCUCACGAGGAUUCAUCUGGAUAACAACAAUUUUUCUGCUCCAGUUCCACAUCUCUUUGCAAAUUUCUCAAAUUUGAUUCACUUGCAGCUCAGUUCUUGUGGAUUAUAUGGAACAUUUCCAGAAAAGAUCUUUCAGUUACGGACCCUCAAAAUUCUUGAUUUGUCAAAUAACAAGGUACUUGAGGGUUCUUUGCCAGAAUUCCCUCUGAAUGGAUCUCUAGAAACCUUGGUGCUCAGUGAUACAGAAUUUUCAGGGGAAGUACCCAACUCCAUAGGCAAUCUCAAGAGGUUGACUGGAAUAGAGCUUGCGCGGUGCAAUUUCAGUGGUUCAAUCCCAAAGGCGAUGACAGACCUUACUCAAUUGGUUAACUUGGACUUCUCUCAUAAUAACUUCUCUGGUCCAAUCCCAUCUUUCAGUUUCUCCAGGAAUCUCACCCAAAUAAACGUUUCUCAUAAUUAUUUAGCAGGUCAGAUUCCUUCCUCUCACUGGGAUGGUCUUGUGAGUCUAGUGACUCUUGACUUAUCUGGUAAUGGUUUCACAGGGCAAAUCCCAUCAUCACUAGGACAGCUCCGACAGCUUGAGUCAUUAGACCUCUCACUGAACAAGCUGAGCGGGGAGAUCCCUACACAGCUCACUACCCUUAGUUCCCUUUCAUUCCUGAACCUCUCAUUCAAUCAAUUAGUGGGAAGCAUCCCAAAAGGUGGUAAAUUUCUAAGGUUUUCAGAAAAUUCUUUCGUGGGUAACAGAGGAUUAUGCGGCUCCCCCCUAAAUGCAAGUUGCGAAGAUGCUACACCACCGACGUCUGAGGAGAUUCAGUGGAAAUAUAUAGCUCCUGAACUUGGAUUUGUGACAGGGUUGGGAAUUGUGUAUUGGCCUCUAUUGUUGUGCAAGAGAUGGAGGAAAUGUUACUACAAACAUGUUGAUGGAAUUCUUUCAAGGAUUCUCCAUAACCAAGACCAAGGAAGACAAAGUUGUGGAAGAAGAGCUCACAGAAUUCGGCGGCGGAGAAUGUAGCAGUGGCGCAGAGGGAUGUAGCUACUCAUCAAGAGUCUUAUCUGUUAUCCAUUUUGAUCUCCAUUAUCACCAACAAUAGAAACUGAACAUAUAUAUAUAUAUAUAUAUAUAUAUAUAUAUAUAUAUAUAUAUAUAUAUCAAUCCUGAAAACAUGUCAUGAUCUCCAGAUAGGGAAUCAACGAACCUGAGUCCGUUUUGCUUUUCGUUUUGAACAAGGUGUGGAUCUUCUAAGGUUGUGGAGGGUACCACCUCUUACUGAAUUCUCUCUGACGAUGGGAGCGGGAGAGAAACGAGUCUAUUCUUAUUUCAAAAUGAUGUGAUGAAUUUGAACAGACACUUAAUCUUUGGAUUUAUACCCUUUGCCUUAGGGACCAUACCCUUUGACUAUUGGGUCUCACGAGUCUUAGGCCCAUCAUGUGAUGGCAAUGGGCUUUACACAUAAGGUGGUUCAUACUAUGGAAAACCGAUACAAAGUAAAUAUCAAAAGGCGAAUAGCUUAGUCAUGUACCAUUGUUAAACAUGUGUGAGUCCAUAUCUUAACAUUAUCUACAUCAAUGCAAUCCUCUGUUUGAUGAAAGAAACAUUAAAAAGGGGUCCCUUAUUGAAUGGGCCUUCAUUUAGUGUGUUAAAUGUCAUUAAGUGAAUGCAUAAUUUUAUAUUUAGAAAAUGUCAUGGUGAAGAUUUUUGACAAUCAUAGGAAUUAGAUUUUCAAAGUAACAUUAUUCUUACCUUUUAGUGAUCCAAUAUCAAGGGGAUUCUCUAAAAUAUUAUAUAAAUAAAAAGUUUUUAUUUAACAAAGAAUUUAAUUUUCAAACCACUCCAUGAAAGCUUUGUUAGAAAAUCAAGUAAAUAGAAUCUCAUAAUUUUAGUUUAAUGAACUAAAACAAAUCUACAAAACUCACCUUAUGUCAUUACGAUAAAGAUCACCUUAACGUAAAUAGUUCACAAUGUUAUGUCAUUUUGGUAGCACCUUACCACUUUGUAUCAGUAUUAACACCUUAUAUCUUCCCUCUUUUUUACUUUUUCUCACUUAAUGUACAUACAAAUUAUGGGAAACCUUAGUAACUUAUAAUCAAUGAUGAAAAUAUCGGUAAUUACGGAUAUAUUGGUUCUUCGAUUUUACAGAUAUAUCGGUGGAUAUUUUGGAAAAAAAAUAUCGAUAGACCAAAAAUUGAUUAAAAUUCAUGGAAAUGUAAAAAAAAAAAAAAAAAAAAAAACUCUUAUUAAAAUAUAAUUAAAAAUGUAAUAGAAAUUUUAAAGUUGUUUUAUUAAAAAAUUUGAUAUAUGUAUAAUAUGAUUUAUCAUAUUUGAUAAUAAUAUCAUAUGCGUUGAUAAAAAAUAUGAAUUUUGUAAGUGUAUUUUUAUUAUUAAAUUAUAUCAAAUAUUAUUUCAUAAUAAUAUUGUAAUAUUUGAUUAUAAUAUAACUAAUUUAAAAAUAUAUUUAAUAUUAAAAUUAUGAUUCAUUUCAUUCAAUUGUAUUAAAUGAUAUAAAAUAAAUUGUCAUAUAUGUAUAAUUUUUUAAUAUUUAAUUAAUCUAUUAAUGAUAUUCAAAACACUAUGAAAAAAAUUAUCAUGAUAAUUUUUAUAUUUUUGGUAAUCAAUUAAAUGAAAAUUUUUUAUUUAAUUAUAAAAUAAUUAUAAUUAAUUUGUUCUCUAAAAAUAUUCUUUUAGGCUAUGUUUGGUUCUCGGAAAAUACUAAGGAAAGAAAAAAAAAAUACAAAGGAAAAUGAUUUUUUCAUGUUUGGUUGUCCUAUGAAAAAUAUCAAAGAAAAUCAAAUAUAAUUAAAACUAAUUAAAAACUUAUACAUUUUUAAAUUAUUUAAUUUUUAUAUUGAUGAGUUAAAAUAAAUAAAAUGAGUUUAAAGUAACAAAAAAAAAAUUGUCGACUUUUAAUCUAUUUUUUAUUUUCCUUCAUUUUUUUUUCCUUUCACUUUUCCUUUAUAUUUUUUUUCCCUUACAUUUUCCCUCAAAUUUUCUGGGAACCAAACAUAGCUUUAAUAUUUUGUUUAUAUGAUAGUUUUGAAUAUAAAUAUGUUAAGUGCAAUAUAAUAAACAAGGAGGAUACUUACUCCAAUGGUAAACAACAAAAUUAAAAGGCAAUUUUAAGCUUAAUUGAAGCACACUAUAAUGCUUUCACUGUGUCACACUAAAGCGGUAUUGACCCGUGUUGACCACCCAAAAAAUCAAUGAAGUAUCACCGUAUCGACGAUUUUUCCCAAAAUUUCACCUAGGUGAUAUUUCUUCUAUGCUUACAAUGAGUGGACGGAGGGAAGGACCAAGAGUCCUUUUAUAUCAUAUAAAUGACCUUCCUUUAAAAGUCAUAAUGAACAUUUUCUACUAGAUUAUAUGAGUCAACCUUUUCCAAUUUCAUGUAGUAUUCAUAGUAUAUGAAAACUUCAAUGUAGGUACAUGACUUUGGUCAUUGUAUUUUAUACACAAUUUGAUAGGUAUGACUUUGGUCAUGAUACCUUAUAUUUUUCCAUAUACCUUAUACAUUUAAUCUUCGAGCAUAUAUGAGAUGUAUAAUAUGAUAAAUGUAAAUACAUGAAGGACACAAUAUUCCAACCAGCUUUACUAUAAAAGUAUCAAAUCUUAAAUUUAAUCGACAUUAACGUAAUAUGACUACUCCUUGACUAAUGCUAAUGAAUCUUGAACAUUGACUAAUGAUUUAUUGUUAAAAAAUAGAAGAAAAUGACUGAAACUAUCCUCUAAAGUUAGUCAUAAUCUUUAAUGCAUAUUCGUUAAUAGAUUUGAUGAAUGUGUAAAGAAGUUUUUUAAUUCAAAACUAUAAUAUCUAACAAUUACACUUUAGUCUCUCAUGAUUCUAAAAUUACACCGACAUCUUUGACAAUAUUCAAAACUAUCCUCACUCAUAUUCCUCAACCCUUUGAUUUGAUGAAAGCCCUAGUUGCUUUUUUACUAACAUCAACCAAUGUUGAAAAUUGACCAUUAAUUACCCAAUAAUUAUUGUUAAAAAAUGAAAGAAAAUGAAAAAAAAAACCCUCUAAACUUGUUUUCCAAUUUUUAGAAUGUGUUUGAUAAUGAUUUUAAAAAGUGUUUUUAACUUUUUUUAACAUUUGAAAAUUUUUAUCUUUCAAAUAUUAAAAAUGUUAUAAACAUUUCAUAAAAUUACUGUCAAACGUAGUCUUAGUUCAAUAGACCUCAUUAUCUAAUUAAUCUAACCAAAAUUUUAAAAUAAAAGACUUAAUUAAUUUAAAUUAAACACUCCUAAAAUGCCCUUAAUCCUAAUUAAUUUUUUUAUACAUAAUUAAUUCUAAUUAAUUUUUAAUAAAUAUAUUAAUCAUAAUUAACUUCAGACUAUCAUCAAUUAGAAUAAUUAAAAAAAAUUUAAAUACUAAAAAGUCAAGAUAUUAAAUAAAAAUUACUUCCUAAUUAGUCUUGAAUAUUUUUUAUUCAAUAGAUUAAAUUUUGUUAACCUCAAUUUUUAUUAAUUAAAAUCACUAAAUUUUACUGUUCAGUAUCAUUUUUUUCCUUUUCCUUUUAGUUUUUCUUAAUAUUUUGUGUGCUAAAUGGGGAAAAAAAAAUGUCUAAACUUUCAAGACUUUUUAAAUCUGAAAUUAUUUUUUCUUUAAAAAAAAAAAAAUCUUUAUCAUCUUCCUAGACAAAAACCUAAUUUUUCAAAUUAAAUCCUAAAUAAAAAGAAAAAAGGGAAAAAAAAAGUUUGAAGCCUUGAAUUUGAAAUCCUAAAAUUUCUUUUUAAGGCUUUGUGCACUUCCAAAAAUACCAUAUCUUACCUUAUCUUAUUUCAUCAUUUCAUAUCAUUAAUUGUAAUUAAAUUUCUUUAAAUUUUUAUAUAUAAAAUCUAUUUAAUUUUAAUUAAAAAUGUAUAAUUAAAAUUUUUAUUAAAUAUUUAAUAUUAAUUAAUCUUAUAUUAUCAUUAAUUAAAAUUACUAAUAUUAAAAAUAAUAUGUUUUACAUAGACUAAUAUUAAAUAGUAUCCUUUCUAAAUUUAUUAAUACACUUUCAAAUUAAUUAAAAUACUAAUUAAUACACUAUUAAACCAAAAAUUUCCAAGUCAAAAUCUAAAUAUUAACUCUUGUGUACUUUUCAAAUCAAACCUUAAAUGAAGAAAAAGAUCUAAAACCCUAAAUCUAAUUUCUUUUUCAUUACAUUAACCUAUGGAGUUCAUAUCCGAAGACACCAAACACAUACUUAUUAGGAAGAUUUGAAGAGAAAGCAAGGUACAUCUAUCAUCAUGAAUACCCUUGGUGGUUUUGUUGUCAACAAAGAAAAGAUUUUUGACUCCAUUGACUCCUCAAUAAGAAGAUGCCUUCAAAUUGACUCAUAUGAUUGAAGGGAAUAUAGAUAUGAUUCUACAAAUGGUGUUUGAGAAGUAGGAAGAUUUGAACAAAAAGCAAGGUACAUAUAUCAUCAUGAAAUCCUUUAUAGUCUUGUUGUCGAUGAAGGAAAGAUUUUUGACUCAAUUGACACCUCAAUUAGAAGGUGACUUCAAAUUGUAUCGUAUCAUUGAAGAGAAUUUAAAUUUGGUUCUACAAAUGGUUAUUGAGAAGGAACUUGAAGAGAAAUGGAGGACUAAGGUUAUGUAAUUAUGGUUAGAGAUUGAUCCAAUGACUUCAUCAAAUCAAGAUUGAGGGAGAGAGGGGGCUCAAAUUCUUGAAAAGAUGGGGUUUUAGGAGUAAGUUUCUUUCUGCAUUGCAAAUUAAAACUUCAAAACAAGAAAAAAAAAAAAAAAAAAAAAGGAAAAAAGAUAAAUAGUGAAAAAAGAAAUUAAAAAAAAAAUCAACUUCAAAAGAAAGAAAAAAAAGUGAAUUAGUUCAAGUCACGUUUUGAUCAUGAUUUGUGCUAAAGAAAAAAAAAAUUGGAUUAUUUCACGUAUUUAUAAAAUGAAGCAAAAACAUAAAUCUUUUUAUGUUUAAAGAAUUAGGGGCAUUUUGGUAUUUUUAAUUUUUUGUGAAGGGAUUUUUAAUGGCCAUUAAGCAAAAACUUUUACAAGGGAUGUCACUGUAGUUUUAAGGGACUAAAAUAUAAUUUUUAGAUACCUCAAUCUCUGUCAGAAUAUUCAGGAAGGUAUUCAAGUUAAGCAGAAGAUAGGUUAAGAAUCUAAAGAUACAUUAGUUGAAUGUGGGCUAUUAAAAAAUCUGAGCCUGGUCUGGUCCAUGCUAGGACUCAAACUAAUGAGGGCCCAAGUUGGGUUAAACUUGGCUAGCUAGAUUUGGGUCGCUAAAAAAUAUGGGCCUGAUUGGCACAAACUAAAGACCAACAGAGGAAGCUAGGCCCAUGUUAAGACCAAUCAACACAUCUUAAGGCAUAAGGGAUUUAAGAUUGAUUAGUAAGGUGCUUGUCCAUCUACUUAUAAAAUUUACAUCCUUCUUAUUAGAUGUCUGGAAAUAUUUUUCAUUUUAUUUAUUUUUAGUAAUUCAUGCUGCCAAUCAUCAAUUAUCAUUUCCAAGAAUGAUUAAACAAUGAUAAGAACUUGACAAUCUAAAUGAUCAAAAUCCAUGCCCAACUUUGCAUUUGAAUUGAGUAUCACUAAACAAGUUGUGACACACCAAAUAGAAUUACACCUAUUUCAAUCUCUUCUCUAUUUCAUUUUUCUUUUCAACCCUUUUUUCUAGAAUUGAAAUCUCUAGGAGUCCUACAUCCUUCAAAUUAUACCCUACAAAUAAUUGUACAAUUUUUGGGUUGUCUUUCCUUACAAUAAUUUCUAAUUAACUUUCAUGUUAAGGUAAAAAAUCCAUUAGGUUCCCAAAGAAAGAAAAAACUUAUCUUGAAUGACUCAAGGAGGCAUGAGCACCUAAAACAACUUAUUGUUUUGUACUUGGCAAAGAAAAAAUUUAAAUAGUGGGUGCUCAAGAUUUAUGAGGGAGACCUCUCAAAGUUUGCAAGUCUUACUUAGAAUAAAUGUGCAUUUGUGCAUUAGUGUCUUUUUUCUUAUUAAAUUUUUUUUUUAUUAAAGGUUUAAAGCAUAAUUUGUUGAGCCUUAUGUAAACUUUAUGGCAAAUGUUUUAAAAUGAUAUUUGAAUCAACUUACUACAUCGUUAAAGGUAUUCAAGAUGAUAAAAUUAUUUUUAAGCAUCACAUAAGUAAACUAAUUAAUAUUAAAAAAUAUAAUGACUAUGAUAAUGACUUUUCUUCUAUAUAUAAUUAAAAUUGUUUGUGGCAUAAGGGGUUGGAAUAUGUUAACAUAGACCUCAUUAUCUAAUUCAAAAAAUAUAAAUUAUAAGAUGCCUUCUCAAAAUUAUUUUUGAGAAAAAUAAAAUUUGUUAAGCGUGAUAAAUGGGAAAAGCAUAUUAAAAAGAAUAUUUUAAAAACAAAAAUAUGAUUGCUAUAUCAUGACUUUCAUAAUUGCUUCUUGUGUAUUUAUUUGGUCUUUUUAGGCUUUUUAUUCUUAGAGGAAAGUAUUAUGUAUUUGUUAUUUUAAUAACUUAGAUAUAUAUGAAUUAUAUUUUUGGGUAAUAGAAAUAAACAUUUUCUUACUUUCUCAAAGUUUUGUAAAAAGGUUGAAACUUAAAAAUCUAUUACAAUCACUUAUACGAGAAGUGAUCAUAGGGGAGAAUUGGAAAGGUUUGAUUUUUAAAACUUUUACGUUGCUCUUGUUAUUGAGCAUAAUUGUUUGGCUCUUAUGGCACCUUAACAAAUGAGUUAUUGGACAAAUAGAACUAAGGAACGACAAAAACUUUGCUUAGUGAAAAUAAUUUAUUAAAUUAUUUUUUUGAAAGUGAUUAAUAUUUUCUACUUGUUAUAUUUUUUAAAUAAACUUUUAAUGAUAUCCAUUUUAAAGAAAACCUCCCAUGAGCUUAAAAAGACACACACGAAAACAAAAACAAAAACAAAAAUUCAAACUUUUAGAAUUCACAACACAUCAUUUGCCGGUAAGGAUAUGUGUGAACAUCAAGAUCAAAGAAGAGGCCAAGGAAAUGGAUGGGAUUGAGGAUGAGAACAAAGGUAAGGUUGAAGGUAAGGAUGAGAAGAAAAACAAGAGUGAGACUAGGAUGAUGUUGAGGUCAACCUCCAUUAGAGGCUUCUUAUACUAUAGAUGGACCUUCACAAAUUGCCCAACAACAUGGUCAUCAUAGAUGCCCUAAACAAAAGAGAAGAGUAUGGAAAGUGGACUUGUGCCCCAGUGGGUACCCAUGUAACUUGUAGCAAUGGUCCACAAUGUGCCCUGUGAGCCUAGAAUGAGAACAUAUUGGGCGAUCAUGCUUGGGCUUACCCUAAGAAGAGGAAGUUGCAACAGAGGGUGACAACAAAGAGGUGCUAAAUGCAAGGGAUUCGGACAGAGUAGGGGAACUAGAUCUAAUAGUGCAUUGUCGUUCUUCUUGAACGACAAGAUUGAAAACCUUUGCAACAAGGGGUAAUGUGUCAAAUAUCAAAAUAUGUCUUAUCAUCCCUAUUGUUCUAAGGGUAUUAAAACAGGACAAAAAACUUAUCAUUGAUAGGUCGAAGUGUGACAAUGCAUUGUCCUUGAAAUAGACCCACCCUCCUCGAAGACGAACUCGGUGCACUAGGGUACUAGUGGUCUACAUCUAGGAUCUAACAACCACUGCAUCUCGCCUUUGGUGCACUCUGUAGGCGAGACAUGUAUAGCGCGAGUUCUGAAAUAUUCCUCCAGAUAGAUGUAUAAAUGAGUGGAAAAUGAAGCAUAACAUUGGAAGAUUUAGAAGUAUUCUUUAAAAAUUUGGUAUGUUAAGAAUUGACGGGUGACCUGCUUUUAUAGACCACUAACACAAUCCCAACAAAACUCUACUUGUAGUCGGAACCAAUGACACAGUCCCAAUGGGACUCUUCCCAAAGAGUUGGCCAAAUAAGUCAAACGAAAUAAAAUUAAAUUUAAAAAAAAAAUUCUUUUGAAUUUUGUAAAAAUUAUUUGAGGUCGCGUGCAUAUGCAAAGAAGGGGACCCCGUGUAGGAAACGAUACACAUUAAGGAAUUAUAGCCCAACCAGUCUGAAGCCCCACUCAAAUGGGCUUGGUCCCCAUAGGCAUGCGAGACUCUCCUACACCUUUCCACAAACCCAUUAGGUUAAGGAAAGUGGGCUAGUUAAUAAACCCAUAAAAAGUGUUUCUCCUUUUCCUAUGUGGGACAAGCUAAAACACUUAAAGCGCUUUUUCACAUUUACACUCUUCCUACAAUCCCCCACAGAGUGUAGACAUGAAGAAAGAAAAUUUUGGAGGAGAAUAGAAUCCAAUGCAUUAGUACUAGUUCCCAAAGGCUAUGAACCUAUCUUAGGACAAAUAAGUAUCAAAUCACAAAACACGAUGAAAAUAAAUUUCUAUAAACUAGUGUUUCUUGAUGUAACUCAAGGGACCUUUAUCCAUAUUAGUUUUCUCAAUUGCACUACGAGUCGUACAAAACGAGUUGGCACAAAUAGGUCAUGCGCUCUGCUUGGAUAUUCAUGAGAGCUCUAGAGAAUCUACCUAAGUUCUCAUAGGAAGCAGUCCCACCUCCACUCUCAAUAGGUGAAUCCAUCAAGUAUGUUUUGCAUUAAACAUACCAUCCAUAAGGAAUAUGUUACUCAUUAAGAACAAACACUCAACCUUAGUCAAUGCAAAAUACAUUCUAUCUACACUAUAGGAAUAAACUCUCAUACAAUUAAAGUUGAUAGAGCACUUCAAGUCAACAAGUGAUUUGUUAUUACCCAUAUGAACCUACUUCAUGGAAUUUCCAUUCUAAUAGGUUAGUUACCACCACUCUUGACUUCUGUUAUAAGCAUAAGCCCUACCUCCCUCGAUGUUUCUUCCACUAGUUUCUUAUUUAGUGGUUUGAUCAAAGGAUCGACCAAAUUCAACUUUGAUCUCACAAAUUCUAGGGAUAUAACCCAUGUUUCAAGUAAUUGUUGCACAAUAUUAUGUCUUAGGCAUAUGUGUCUGAUCUUCCCAUUAAAUAUUUUACUCUUAGCCUUAGCAAUUGUAGCUUGCCUAUCACAACGCAUAGACAUAGACAGGACUGGUCUCGUCCAUAAAGAGAUAUCUACUUAAAGGUUUCUAACUCACUCAACCUCAAAACUUGCCUUUACUAAGGCAAUAAACUCAGUCUCCAUAGUAGACCGAGUAAUGCAAGUUUGCUUGGCAGACUUCCAAGAAACUGCACCUCCUCCAAGGGUAAAAACAUACCCACUAGUGGAUUUCAUCUCAUCUAAAUCAAAUAUCCAAUUUGCAUCACUAAAUCCUUGAAGGACACUUGGAAAUCCAUUAUAGCACAAACUAUAGUUCAUAGUGCCUCUCAAAUACUUAAGGACUCUACGAACAACAAUCCAAUAGUCCUGAUUAGGACUUUGGGUGUAUCGACUCAAUCUACCUACUACAUAAGCAAUGUCAGGUCUGGUACAAUUCAUUAAGUACAUUAGGCUCCCUAUGAGCUGAGCAUACUCGAUUUGGGCAAUAUCAUGUUUUCUAAUUUUCUUCAGUUGUGAGCUAGAAUCAUAAAGAGUUGACACUAGUUUACAAUCAAAGUGUUCAAACUUCCUUAAGAUCUUCUUAACAUAGUGUUCUUGAGAAAGUUUAAGCUCAUUAGGUGUUCUAGUUAUUUUGAUUCUUAGAACCACCUCUGCCUCUCUUAAGUCUUUCAUGCCAAACUUAGAACCUAGGAGUUCUUGGUCUCACACACAACCUCUAAGCUAGUUCCAAAAAUCAACAUGUCAUCAACAUAAAGGUAGAUGACUACACAUGUGUUAUCCUCAUACUAGUUGUAGAUACACUUACUUAUCAGAAUCAUUAAUGGAAUAUCCAUUAGUUACUAACACAUGAUCAAACUUGUUAUGCCAUUAUUUAGGUGCUUAUUUUUAACCCAUAUAGUGAUUUAACCAGCCUACACACUUUUUUCGCCUUCUUUGGAACUACACAACCCUCAGGUUGUUCCAUAUAAAUUUUCUCUUCCAAAUCCCCAUUCAAGAAUGUAGUCUUGACAUACAUUUGGUGUAUAACCAUAUAUAUUAUGAAUGGAAGCUAGAGCAAUCAAUACUCUAAUUGACGUUAUUCUAGUUAUAGGGGAAAAAAUGUCAAAAUAAUCUACAUCCAUCAUUUGUUUAAAGCCUUUGGCAACUAAACGAGCUUUAUACUUCUCUAUGGACCCAUCUUGUUUUAACUUUCUUUUAAAGAUCCACUUACAACCAAUAAUCUUUGUACCAGGAGGUAAAUCUACUAACUCCCAUGUGUGGUUAUACAUGAUUGAUUUGAUUUCACUAUUAAUAGUCUUCUUUCAAAAUGGCGCAUCAGGCAAAGUGAUAGCUUCUUUGUAGGAUCUAGGGUCCUCAUCUAUUACGAAAGUGUAGAAACUAUCUCCAAGGUUUUUUUUUUCCUAUCUCUUUUACUCCUUCUAGGUUCAAAUUCAGAAGGUUCAACAAACUCAUCUUUACUUGUUUUUUGAACUUAUUGUUUACCACCACUUAGUUUCACAGGAAAGAUGUUUUCAAAGAAAUCUGCAUUUCUUUGUUUCUAUUAUGGCAUUUUCAUCUACAAGACUAUUUUCUGACUUAGUAACAAGAAACCUAUAUGUUGCACUAUUCUCAACAUAGACAAUGAACAUUGCAUCAAAGGUUUUAGGACCCAGUUUUCAUUUUUUAGGUUAAGGAAAAAGAACUUUAGCUAAACACCCCCACACUUUCAGGUAUGCUAUAUUAGGUGCAUAACCCUUCCACAACUCAUAAGGAGUUUUACCAGUUUUCUUGUAAAGUAUUCUAUUUUGAAUAUGACAAACAGAGAGGAUAACUUUCCUCUACAAGUUUAAGGGUGCUCCUAAACUUACCAAUAUUGCAUUCAUCAUUUCUUUUAAGGUCCUAUUUUUCCUUUCUGUUACUCCAUUACACUCAGAGGAAUAAGGAGGAGUAGUUUCAUGAAUGAUUCCAUGAUUUUCACAAAAAGAAUUAAAGGGUUGGACUCAUACUCUCCUCCCCUAUCAUUUCUAAGUUUUUUAAUUUUCUUAAUUAGUAGAUUUUCCACUUCAUUUUUGUACUUGAUGAAAGCAUCUCUUGCUUCAUCUUUGUUUCUCAAAAAAUAUACCCUUGUAUGUCUUAAGUAGUCAUCUAUGAAAGUUAUGUAGAAUCUUUUACCACCUCUAGUCAUUGUAUUUUUUAGGCCUCCUAAGUUACUGUGUAUUAAACUUAGUAGAUCUAAUUCUCUUUCUACUGAUUUGCAUGAUUUCUUUGUGGUUUUUUAUUCUACACAGGAUUCGCAUUUUCCAUGGUUUUCUAAGGACAACUUAGGGGUUAAACUCAAUUCAAUCAUUUUCUUCAUAUAUAAAAAGUUCACAUGUCCUAAUCUACUAUGGAAAAUAUCACAAGCAUCAACUAUGUAAGCAAAAGAAGAAUGUGCAUUAUUAUUGAUAAUAUCAUAAACAUUUAACAUAAAUAAAUCCUGAUUACAAUAGCCCUUCCCCACAAAUACAUCAUUCUUGGUUAGAACUAUUUUAUCAUAGUCAAACAAGAUCCUCACUCCUGUUUUCCCAAGCAGAGAUAUUGACACCAAGUUCUGGAGAAUAUCUAGCACAUGUAGAACAUCACUGAGGGUGAGUGUUUUUCCAGGGGUUAGCUUGAAAAGAAAUUUCUCUUUGCCAAUCACUAGGAUAGAUCUAGAAUCACCUAUGAACACUUGUUCCUUUCCUUCCUUUACAGUGGUAUAUGAAACAAAUGCACUUUUGUUGCCACAGAUGUGCUUGGUAGCCCUAGAUUCUACGACCUAGUUCUUCAUAUUGGUGACCAAGCUCACCUUAGAGGAGACUACUACUAUGAUCUUUGCUAGAUUUGCCUUUGAAUUGGUCUUCUCAAUUCUCUUCCUAUGGCAGCAUUGAGCUUCAUGGAGUCCACCUUGCCACAGACAAAGCAAUUACCCCAUUUUUUAAUAGUUGGGUUAUGAACCUUAUUUGUUGCAUUGGGCUUGGUCCUAGAGUUUUACUUUCUGAACCUUUUUUUUUUUUUUUUAGGUUUGGGUUUUUCUUCUACUACAUUAGCCUUAGAAGACAGUUCCUUAGUUUUCUCAACAUUGUCCCUAUUUCGGUUUUAUGCAUCAAUCUUAAUAUAGGUUAUGACAUCUUUUAAGGGCAUUUGUUUCCUUUUAUAUUUCAUGUUAUUUUUGUAGUCUUUCCAAGACUCUAGAAGAGUCUCUACUAAGUAACCGGCCACAAAAGGUUCAGGUAAUUUAAUGUCUUCAAUAGCUAAGUCAUUAAUCAAUAAAUAGUAGUCAUGGAUUUGAUAUGAUACAUCUCUAUUCUUGGUCAUUUGGAAAUUUCUAAAAUUUUGUAUGGCAUAUUUCUGAGCUCCUACAUAUUCCAAAAUACAUUUUUUAUUCAUUUCAUCCCAAAUUUCUUUUGCAACUUUAUACUGACAAUAAACAUCAAAAAGUUAAUUUGAAAGGGUACUCAUAAUAGCAUGUCUAACUUGUUUAUUUCUAGUUUCCUAGGUAGGAAACAAAUCAAAACCAUCUUUUGGUUGUAGGUCAGUCAAAAUGUGUUCCAAGUUCACUACAUCAAUUGAUGAGAAAACCCUUUCUUACCAUUUCUUAAAGAAUGACUCAUUGAAGGGAUCAAUCUUAGAGGUAUUAGGACGUGUGUGAAAUAGGGAAGCUUCCAUUGAUAUUUUUCAAGAUUGUUGAUCUAAGGGUAUUAAAAUAGGACAAAAAACUUAUCAGUGAUAUGCUGAGGCAUGACAAUGCAGUAUCCUUGAAAUAGAUUCACCUUCCUUGAAGAUGAACUUGGUGUACUAGGAUACUAGUAGUCUACCUCCAAGAUUCAACAACCAGUGUAUCUCGCCUUUGGUGCACUCUAUAGGCGAGAUGUGUACAACUCAAGUUUUGAAAUAUUCCUCCAGAUAAAUGUAUGAAUGAGUCGAAAGAGAAACAGAACGUUGGAAGGUUUAGAAGUAUUCUUUGAAAAAUUGGUAUGUUGAGAGUUAAGGGGUGACCUACUUUUAUAAACCACUAUUACAGUCUCAACUAGACUCUACUUGUAAUUGGAACCACUAACACAAUCCCAAUGGGACUCUACUUGUAGUCUGAACCACUAACACAAUCCUAAUGGGACUUUUCCUAAAAAGUCAGCCAAAUAAGUCAAACUAAAUUAAAUUAAAUUAAAAAAAAUUAUUUUGAAUUUUGUAAAAAUUAGUCGAGGUCACGUGUGUAUGUAGGUAGGGACCCCUUGCAUAGGAUGCAUAUGCUGACGCAACGCACAUUAAGGAAUUCUGACCCAACCAGCCCAAAGCCCCACUCAAAUGGACUUGGGCCCCAUGGGCGCGUGAGGCUCUCCUACACUUCUCCACAAGCCCAUCAAGCUAAGGAAAGUGGGCUAGUUAAUAAACCCACAAAAAGUGUUCCUCUUUUUCUUAUGUGGGAUAAGCUAAAACACUUAAAGCACCUUUUCACAUUUACACUCUUCCUACAAUCCCAACAUAAGAUUCAUUCAAGCCCAUCAAAAAUUGCAUCACAUAUUCUUGCUAUUGAUAAUCCAUCUAUGCUUUCAUUCCACCACAUUGACAAAUAAAUGGGAAUGAGUUACAAAUUCUUGUGUUCAUCCUAAAGAAUUUUCAAAUGGGUAUAAUAAAGUAUUGAUAUCAAGGGAACCUUGAGACAAACCGUGCAGUUGUUGAUUAAUCUAAAAAAUGCGUUGGGCGAUGCUAUAAUGAAACUGAUUGUGUAGAUCUGCCCAAACAACUUGAGUGAUGUCCAGGUAGAGGAGACUAUCAGCAAUCUCUUUGGAAGCGACAUUGAAAAGCCAAGAAGUGUCCAUACUAUUACAUCUUGACCAAACCCCAACAAAAGGAUCCUAUGGAGGUGGUUGCGAAAUCGAUCCAUCGACAAAACCAAGUUUAUGCUUGGCAUUGAGAGCCAUAAGCAUGGCUCGGCCCCAAGUGUUGUAGUUGGGGCCAAUGAGGAGAUGAGAAACAAGAACCAAUUCGGGAUGGUCACCUCUAUGUAAGAAAAAUAGAAUGCUAGUGCUAUCCAUGGAAAAAGAAGAAUCGUGGUGAGCCAUGGUACUAGUGGAAGAAGAGGGUGUGAGUGGCUGGAAUCGGUUAGUGUUGUUAUUCUGACCACCAUGAGCCAUUUUAGCAAAAAGAUAGAAGAGCAACAAAAGAAAAAUGCUCUGAUACCAUAUUAUGAGGAGAGAAUGGAAAGGAGAAAAACAUUCUCAUUUCAUUGUAUAUCUCUUUUAUAGUCUGAAGGUACAAAAAAAAAAUAUUGCAGAGUGCUCUACCUUACAUUGCCAAAGGAGAUAGGUUGUACAGCUCAUCACUAUUCUCAUAAACUAUAGAAUGUUCUAUACUAAUAUAACUGUUAUAAGAGAAAAAAUAAAUAAAUAAAUGCUAGUAUGCUAAAACUUAAAACUAUUAAUUGUAUUGUAUAUAUUUAGAUCAAGAUUGUUUUUAUGAUAAUUUUAUUUUGAUGCAUGUAUAUAUGUUUUUCCAUUUUGAUACAGUUGAUGUUAGUUGUUUAUGAGAUUUGGAAUAUAAUUAUUUUGUUUAUGAUACACUGUGAUUAUGAUAUAAACAGGUUGAUUGUAAAUAUUUAAUUUAAAUUAAAAACAUCUUUUGAAAAUAUGAUUUUUGCAUAAAUUUGUAAAUUAUAAGUACAUUAAAAUGGUCUUUUUAAAAGAUAAUUUCAUUAAAUAAAAUUAAUUUUUUCAAAAGAUAAUUCCAUUGAGUAAAAUCGUCUUUUUGAAUGAGAAUUUCAUUCAAUGAAAUUGUGUGUUGAAAAUAUUAUUUAAAAAUAGGAAAUCGUUUUUCCAAAAGUCGAUUCCAAUGUAAUUUUUCAAAAGUGAUUUUAGGAAUGCUAAUAUUAAUUGCACUAUUGGAACUUUAAAACCUUUUUUUUUAAACAAGCUUACAAAGUAAAAUCAACUUUCAAUAUCAACACAAUUUAUAAAUUUUUAUUAAAAUUAUCUUGUUGAAAAAACGAUUUUGAUGGGUCACCAUAACCGUUGUAUUUUUAGAAUAUUCGUAAAUACCAUUUUUAAAUAUACAUGGUAGUGUACAAAAAAGGGUCUAUGACUAUGGUUUUGUCACUUCAAAGUGAAAAGAAAAAAGAAAGGAAAGGAGAUUAAGGUUGGCGUUAAACCUUAAUAGACAUGAUUUGAUAAACAAGAGCAGCCAAAAGCCACAUGAGUAAGAAGGUCAAGGAUGGUUUUUGUCUAUCAACCAGAAUAAUCAAAUUCAAUUAUGGUGGGUAGUUUAAUUUUUGCAAUGGAGAGGAGGUCAAGUAAUAAUAAAUGUUGUAGAGUAAUAAAAAAAAAUUGUAAAGGCAAUAAGGAGGCUAAAAAGAUAAAAUGAAAAUAUAAACUUAAAAAUUAGUUAAUUAUUUUUAUUUAUUAUUUAAUUUUAUUUUUUAUUUUAAGUAAUAUAAUUAAUUUAUUUUAUCAAACAUACUUAUUUAUUAAAUAACUUAAAUUAAGUUAUUAAGUUAUUUUAAAUUAUUGAAUUAGUUUACCAAACACUCACAAAUAUCAAACUAAUUUCUUUCCCAAAAAAACUAAAAAAAGAAAAAAAGGCAAACUCAUAUUCUAAUAAUUCGUUUUGUUUUUAUUUAUAUUUUUCCAAGAACCCAUUUCUUUUUCUCUCCAACCCUUCGGACUACACUUUCCUCUAUAUAUAUAUAUUCAUUUUUAUUUUUUUUAAUCAUAUUUAUUACCUAAUACAUAUAAAUAAAUAUAAAUAUAAAUAUAAAUAUUUAACGACCUUUAAUUCUACAUUUAUUUUUAGAUGAUAAAUGUACAAAUAAUAUAGGUAAAAUAUAAUAAUCUUUAAAAUUAUAAAACAAUAAAAUUCCUAACUUUUGGAACCUUAAUAAAAUUGAAUAAUAAAAUUAUCUUUCGCUUUUGGAUAUACCUUCUUAUCACUUAACUGUAUACAAAUAUUAUUUAAUAAAAUUAAAAAUACUAAUAUAUUUACACUUCAUCUUUAUCUUAAUUUACUCUAUUAAUAUUAUAAAAAAAUAUAUAUUACUUAGAAUGUAUUCAAUAGUGAUUCUAGAAAAUGUUUUUAAUUAAUAUUUUAAAUUUUUUAUUUUUUAAAUACCAAAAAAGUUAUAAAUCCCGGAUAAAAUUACAAUCAAACAAGCUUUUAAUGAACAUAAAAAAUACUAAUAUAUUUAUAUUUUAUAUUUAUCUUAACAAAUAAACUAAUUUUCUGGAAUCAAAGCAUGGACUGCUGUUGUUGGGGAGGUGUAACCUGGGAUACCACAGGUCAUGUUGCCUCUCUUGAUCGCAGUAGCCAAUUAAUUUAUGGUGGAUUCAGUAACUCCAGUAGCAUUUUCAGUCUACAACAUCUCCAGAGCUUGAAUUUGGCUAACACCUUCUACUUUUCUCAAAUUCCAUCAGGAUUCCACGAGCAUGGUAAUGUGACUUACCUGAUCAAUUAGUUAAAAGUAUGUCUUUUCUGGGCAGAUUCCGAUCGAGAUUUCAUGCUUAAGAACGUUGGUUACCAUCGAUAUCACUAGCUUUAAUUACCGCAUUGGAAUCCCUACACUGAAGCUUGAGAGCCCAAAUCUGAGAAUGCUGAUUCAGAACCUCAAAGAUCUUAGAGAACUCCAUCUUAACGGUUUAGACAUAUUGGCCCAGAGGAAGGAGUGGUGCCAGGCAUUAUCAUCUUCAGUUCCUGAUCUCCAAGUUCUGAGCAUGUCCUAGUGUUUUCUUUCAGGCCCUAUUCAUCCUUCCCUUAUGAAGCUUCACUCCCUUUCAGUUAUUCGUCUGGAUUAUAACUUCACAAUACUUCUCAAUACUGGAAAGGCUUUUCGAAUCUUGUGAAUCUUGACUUAGGUCACAAUGUACUGCAUGGGAGUCUUCCAUGGUCCCUGUUCUCUCACCCAUCAUUGCAGAGGAUAAGGCUUAAAAAUAACCAAUUUUCUGGUCAAAUUGAAGCCCUUAAUUUGAGUAGCAACAAUCUAAAAGGGCCAAUACCCAUGUCUGUCUUUGAUCUCCGGGGUCUUCACAUCCUUGAACUCUCCUCCAACAAACUCAAUAGCACACUAGAACUAAGCAUAUUUCAAAAACUAGGGAACCUACUUCUCUCAAUCUUUCGCACAACAAGUUGUCAUUCAUUGAGGAGAGUUUCUAUUCCACCCUUUCUAAAUUCCCCCAGUUCACCACAUUAAAAUUGUCUUCUUGCAACCUAAGAAGAUUCCCUGAUUUAAGGAACCACGUACUUUUUUUUUACAUAUUUAGACCAUUCACAAAACCAAAUUCAGAGGGAAAUUCCUGAUUAGGUUUGGAAGAAUGGUAAUGGCCAUCUUAUGCGUUUGAAACUCUCUCAUAAUUUUCUGGUGGAUCUGCAAGAACCUUUUUCCAAUCUUCCUCCUCAUCUGUCUACCCUUGACCUACAUUCAAACCUGCUCCAUGGUCGAAUCCCCAUUUCACCCAAAAUUUUCUGCUAUGUGGAUUAUACUCAACCAACAGAUCCUGAAGAUAUUGGUUCCUACAUCUCCUUCACUAUUUUCUUCUCUUUCAAAGAUAACAUCUCAGGAAUCAUUCCUGCAUCCAUUCUUGACUUCUCUAACAACGCUUUGAAUUGGUGGAAUACCUUUAUGUUUGAUUGAGAACGAGGGUCUUGUGGUUCUGAAUCUACGGAGAAACAUGUUUAGCAGGAUUAGAUCUGGGAAUUUUCAAGGCAACUGUAAUUUACAGACUCUGGAUCUUAAUGGGAAUCUUUUAGAAGGGACAAUUCCUGAAUCUGUGGCCAAUUGCGAAAAGCUAGUGGUUUUAAACCUUGGGAAUAAUCAGAUAGAUGAUAUUUUUCCUUACUAGUUGAAGAACACAAGCAGAUUGCAUGCCCUUGUUCUGCGAGCCAACAGAUUCCAUGGGCCAUUUGGAUGUCCUGAUAGUAAAUCCAUCUGGGCAAAGCUUCAGAUUGUCGACCUAGCUUACAGCGAGGUGCCAGCAAAAUGCUUCUUGACCUGGAGAGCAAUGAUGACUGGUGAAGGUGAAAUUCAAUCCAAACUCAAACACUUUGCUAUUUAGGGUUGUAGAAUACAGUCAACUGUGUUGUUCUAAGGGUAUUAAAACAGAGGACUAACCCAAAAACACACAAGCAAAUAAUAGAAUGAGGAACUGGAAACUUAUCGAUGAUAGGCUAAGGCGUGGUAAUGUACUGUCCUUGAAAUAGAUCCACCCUCCUCAAAGACAAACUCGGUGUCUUGGGUGCACUCUGUAGGUGAGAUGCAUACAGUUUCGAUUCUUAAAUAUUCCUCCAAAUAAAUGUAUGAAUGAGUGGAGAGGGAAACAGAAAGCUGGAAGGUUUAGAAGAACUCUAUGAAAAUUGGUGAAUUGAGAGUUGAGGGGUGACCUGUUUUUAUAGGCCACUAACACAGUCCUAACGGGACUUUACUUGUAAUCAGAACCACUAACAAAGUCCCAAUGGUCCCAAGAGUCGGCCAAAUGGAAUAAAAUUAAAUUAAAAAAAUAUUUUGAAUUUUAUAAUAAUUAGCCAAGGCCACGCGCGUACGCAAGGGGGGCAUUAAGGAAUUUUGGCACAACCAACCCAAAGCCCCACUCAUUAGGCUAAGGCAAGUGGGCUAGUUAAUAAACCCACUAAAGGUAUACCUCUUUUUCCUAUGUGGGACAAACUAAAACACUUAAACCACAUUUUUCACAUUUACACUCUUCCUACAAACUAUACUAUUAGGAUGUUGUAACAUUUACCAGCAAAGGUCAAGAGAUAAGCUUAUGAAGGUCCUAAACUCUCUUCACUUCCAUUGAUUUCUCCUUCAACAAUUUUGAAGGCCAUAUGUCAUUAGAGAUAGGAAACUUCCUUUCCAAUCUUGGACCUCUCCUUCAAUCAGUUAGUAGGGAGCAUCUCAACAGGUUUGUUGUGAUUCCUAUAGCAAUUCCUAAUGAGGAAAUUAGAGAAAACAAAAGAAAAACACAGAUUUAACGUGGUUUAGCUUAAUGCUUAUGUUCACGGGAACAAGGGUUGAAGAUUUUCACUACUCCAAAAUUAGGGUUACAAGAAAGGGUAUUGAUACUAACCCUCAAUUAUUGAGAAAUUCCAAAAAUACCCCUGAAUAGUACGCUGCCCGAGCGGAACAGAGUAGAAUGACGAAAUUUGUCAUUUUUUCUCCAUAUAUGUCUUUCACUCAAUAUGAGCCACAUACUACAACAAUCUCCACCUUGGUGAAUAUUCACCCUUUAGGAAAAAAGAAAAACAUAGCUUGGAACUCCACCUGGAACAAUAGGUUGGGACAUCUCCUAUCUAACAUCUGGAGACAUUAAUCAAGUUCAAGCAAUGCUUGAACUUUUCUAUGGUAACAAGUUUUGUCAACAUGUUUGCUACAUUCUCAGAAGUGUGAACCUUCUCAAGUAACAAUUCACCAGAAGAAACCAAUUCCCUGAUCUUGUGAAACCUCACAUCUAUGUGUUUGGUCCUUGCAUAAUACACAUGGUUCUUUGCCAAAUGAAUGGCACUCUAGCUGUCACAAUAUAAUUGAACUCCACCUUACUAAAUACCUAACUCCUUGACCAAUCCUGUAAGCCACAAUGAUUCCUUUGUCACCUUAGCCACUACCAUAUAUUCUGACUCAGUAGUAGAUAGUGCAACCAAAGACUAUAUCAUAGACUUCCAACAAAUAGGCCCUCCACUAAGAGUGAAUACAUAACCUAUGGUAGACCUCCUAUCAUCUAAGUCUCCUACAUAGUUUGCAUCCCACAUAUCCCUCAACUAAAAGAUCACUCUGUUGUCUCCUGAACAUGAUGUCAUAGUCUACAAUACCCCUCAAGUAUCUAAAGAUCCACUUGACUGCAUCCCAAUGCAAUCUUCUCGGAUUUGAUAGAAACUUGCUCAACACACUAACAGUUUGUGCCAAGUCUAGUCUUAUACAAACCAUAGCAUACAUCAAGCAUCCCACUGUACUUGCAAGUGGAAACUUUGACAUGUCUUUCACUUCAUCAUCUAUCUUUGGGUACUGAUUAGUAGACAAUCUAAAAGGAUUCACCAAAAGUGUACUUACUGGUUUUGCAUUAUCCAUGUUGAACCUCUCCAACACUUUUUCAACAUAGCUAUGCUGAGAUAACCAUAAUCUCCCUGAAGUUCUGUCCUUGUGAAUCUCCAUCCCAAGAAUCUUCUUGGUCGCACCUAAAUCCUUCAUGUCAAACUCUUUGCUCAACAAAGACUUCAACUUAUUGACCUCACUCAUACUCUUUGCAGCAAUUAACAUGUCAUCCACAUAGAGUAACAGAAAAAUAAAUGAAUCAUCAUCUAGGCUCUUUACAUAAAUACAAUAAUCAUACUCACAUCUCUUGUAGCCAAUCUAGAUCAUGUAAAAGUCAAAUCUCUUGUACCACUGUCUUGGGGACUACUUCAACCCAUAAAGUGAUUUUCUCAAUUUACAAAUGUGGACCCACAUUUUUCACAUGCGUUCCCACUCGAUCAACGAGACUCACUUUUAUUUGUGAAAAAAUAAUUUUUGGAAAAGUCGAAGUUGCCACUUAUUUUAUUUUUAUUUUAAAGGGAAAAUAAAACAAGAAAGAAAAACCCUAAAAAAGUGACUCCAUAAUUUUUGGAAAAAACGUGUCUUUGAAAAACCCGAGUCUAGGUCUGGGGAUCAGGUUACUUAUUGGGAAAGUACCUCUAAAAAGUAACACCCCUCUAAGCCCUAUAAAGGUUUCUACUGACUAAGUUGGGGGGAAUGUAGCAAUUAAAUGGUUGAUCAUGGAUACCUAAGUAGGCUAGGUGGCUUAAAAAAAAAUAGCAUGUCAAACAAGAAAGUCUGAUCAUAAGAGAGAAUCAAAGUGCUUACCUGAACGGGCUUUCAAGAGCUAUCAUGAAACAUAAAAGUUAGUAGAGAAAUAUAUCACACAACAUGUGUUUUAUCCAAGCAAAUCAAGUAUACACCUAAGAACCCAAGAAUCACAUCAAGUAUGGAUAUAGUUAUCAGUAGCAUACGUGUCCACAGAAUUCUCAAGGGUAGGUGUGGAGGAGCGUACCUAGUGACUCAUGCCCAAUUGGUGUCUCAGCUGAUUUGUGUUCAGUUGGUGCUCCUUGAUUGAGGAAGUGAUCAACAAAAUUUAUACCUAUAACACCAUACACUAGGGUAGCAAAUACAAAGCUACUAUAGUAUAGUGGCUCUAAGGAUCGUUCACUGGGAAUGAUUUGCAAGCAAUCAAGGAUACCAAUUCCAAGUGAAUUGGUUUUGUUUCAUUUCACGGUUAGCUUAAGGAAUAAAACAUAAACUUUGAUUUGUAAAGGUUGAGACUUAAACUAACUAACUUAACAGAAGUUUGGAAUAAUUUAGGAAGAAAAGCAUUCCUUGGACAUUUAGGUUCACUGGGGUGGUCCCUCAUGCAAAAGACAUAGCUCCGGUCAGAUGGUUCAUUUCCUCGCAUUAGAGAUUCAACUUAAAGUCAAUUCUCUAAUCGGUGAUGUACAGAGACUCCUUCAAUUAGAUUUCACUUUAAUUCUCUCACUGAUACAACUUGCAAUGGUUCAUGCCUCUCACGAGCACUUACCAUUCAAGGUGAUCUUUAACCUUGGAUUCCCCUUCACAAACUCGCAAGAGAUAACUAAUGGAUGUCUCCUAGGAGUCCAAAAGCUUACCAAGUGUUGGUAAUUCCAGAAAAUCCUACCUUGAAGUCACCUACCAGAGGCUCGCAAGGGGUAAACUAGUGCAUUCCCACGGUUGGAAAUCACUUGCCUUACCAAGUGUUGGCCCAGGUGACUCCAAGAUAUUUUAAGUUAACUAAAAACAUUGAAAUCACUAAAGGAUUUCACUUCCUCUUCAUUAAAAACUAAAACCACAAAGCUUUGCAUUCUUGCACUUGGAACCUUCCCCGGCACCCUUAGCUCCAAGGAAUUGGAGGUUUAGUUACUCAUUCUCUGGGGAAAACUCCUCAGAGAAUUCAUAACUUAGAAAUAAAAUGAAAAUACAAAGUGAGAAGGUAAGGCAGUAGAAAGAAAAGACCUUUACUUGCUUCCCAAAAAUUUACAGAAGGAACUCCUCUCCGAGAACAGGCUCCCGAGAGGUAUUUAUAUCCAACUAAUAUAAAACUAAUUCUUACCAAGAUAUUUGGUCUUUUUACUAACUUAAAAACUAAGGAAUCAUGUAAUUGGUGGUUUACAAGGAGUAUUUUGGGAUUUAGACAACAAAAAUCUAAUGGAAAAUAUCUCCCAAUGUCGGUAGCAAGCUUCGGGAGGCUUCAGGAGCCAUUUCGCAGGUGAAAAAUGAGGCCUGUGAAAUUUCGCAGACACCCAAGAGGGCUGCGAAAUUAUCUUGCAAGACCGAGCUAUCUUCACUAGGCUGCAAAGUUGGCUUCCAUCUUGAAGUUUCCAGCUCCCUUCUCGCGGCAUGGUUCGUGCAUCGUUAGAAGGAGAAACACCUUACUGUACAAAAGUGUUGCGAAAUUCUCGCAACAAAAGGCUGAUUCCGCAACACUUUAGAGUGUCUGGCUUGUAAUGGCUGCAACUUCUUCGUUUCAACUCCAAAUUGCACACCGUUUGAAGCAUUGGAUUGUUGACUUCCUGAGCUUUGAAAUGGUAUAUAGCUUGUAUCAUUUAGACUUCAGAAAGUGCUCCAAAAGUGGCUGCUACGACUAUCAUCAAGAAUAUGCUCCAUGGCAGAUUCUCUUUGCUUUUUCUCCUUGCAAUCCGGAUUCACUCUUGGCAAUUGAAUUCUAAGCUUUGCCCAAGAUUCCUCAUAGCUCUCCUCAUUCUUGACUUGCUUUGGUGAUCAAAAUACUAACAAAAACACCAAAACUUACACAAAGUGAUCAAAAUUGCUUUAAAGGAUCCUUAACAUGCCAAUUGAGUUAAAAGGCCUAAACUACUACUCAAAAGUGUUAAAAAGGAUUAAUUAAAGGCUAUCAAAUAGCACUUUUUGAGUAGUAAUCACUCCCCCCAACCGACAUAUUGCUAGUCCCUUAGCAAUAAAGGAGAGAAAAAUGAAAAUAAAUAGCUAAUUAUACUAAAAUUUACAACAUCAUGCUGAAAGGAAAAUAAUUCUUAAGUGGCAUGAUGAUCUAUUUCUCACAUGAAUCAUUAAAGAAAUACAAACCCAAAUCUCAACAAGAGUCACAACAAACUAUGCUAAGCACUGUCAAUCAAGGGAGUGCAUUAUGCAAACUGAAGUUUUAAAAUCAUUUCACUUUCUAAGAACUAAACUUCAAUCUUCCACAAAAAUCUGUGUAUUGGUUCCUUAGCUUCCGAGAAUAAUAUGCUACUAAUCUCACCCCCCAACCUAUCUCUUUUCAACACUUUAGUAAACUGACCAAAAUCAAUAAGAAAAGAACACACUUUCAUCAUCUUUUUUUUUUUUUUUUUUUUUUUCAAGGUAGCUUUUUGGGGUACUCUUUCUGACUUGUCCAUGUAAUGGGGGUCCAUCGAUGACUCCCAACCAAUUAAGGUUUAGGGCACCAAGUUUUAAGGAUCUUUCAACCACUAACUCCUCGGAUUUUUCCCCGGACUUUUAAGAAUGAAUUUCUAAUACCCAAGCAUCUACCAUAUGCUAACUCUACCUAUUCACCCUUGUAACGAGCAUUGAGGUCGGUGACUCCCAACCAAUUAAGGCUUAGGGCACUAGGCUUUAAAGGCUUUCACCAUAUACCCCUCAGACCUUGCUCGGGUUUCAAGGCAAGCAACCAACUUUCUUUAUUUCAAAGGCUCAUUGGCCUUUUGCAGGGUGUUUCAAUUUUUAUCAAAUGAGGUCAAAUAUACCAAGUCCCAAAAAUAUACUAAGUCAAGAGGGAAAUAGCUUUUCAUCUUAUAAUCGGAAACUAAUGUGCACAGUGUGUGGAUAGCUUAAAGUGGAAGAACUCAAUUCAAUUUCAGUAGAAGUUUCAACAAUUGGAACACUUUAGUAAGCAUAAUCCAUACUCUAAGUCAAGUGAAAAACAACAGUUCAAUUUCUCUUGGUUUAAUUUGAAAAUUUUCCUCAAAAUUCAUGGAGAAUAGAGUAACAAGAGUAAAAAGUAAAAACUACAACUAAUUAACCAAUAUAAUUGCAAUACCAAAAAGAUUUAGAAUACUUCCUUCCUCAUACCCCCCAACCGAACUGAGCAUUGUCCUCAAUGUGAUUUGAGUGACUGUAACAAAAGGGAGGAAGUGGUACCUCCUUGCUGAUAUCAAAUUCGAAUAUUGAUUGGGGAAAACCACAUGUUUCAAAAAAGAAUAGAAUAUGUGAGAAAAGGAAAUAAUAAUAACUUAAUGCUAACUUUUAACAAGAAAAAUUCAACUUGUAUUACUUUGAGUUCAUUUGAUUACAAUGCUAAAGACAAGUAACACAAGGAAUCCCAUAUAUAGUACCAAAAUACUGGGAUUUCAUUUCAACUAAAAAAAACAAACAAGCAUGCAUAAAAACAUAAAUAGCAAAUAUAUAUAAUGUCUGAUGAGUGGGGUGAUGGUGCUAAGCAGAAGGAUCUGCCUCCUCUGUAGGUGGAUCAGCUGGGGCUUCAGGCUCUGGAGCUUGAGACUCUGAAGGCUGAGAGUGUGGCUCUGGUGGAGUAGGAAUGGAGGGCUCUACAGCUUGUGGCAGAUCGAAAUGGACUUGAAGCUGCCUUAGGAUGGCAGCUUGUUGAGCCUGAGAGGCUAACAUCUGCUCCUGGCAUGCUUUGAUGGCUGCCAACUCCUGAGCAAGAUUGCUCUGGCUAGCUGUAAGAGUCUCCAAUGCUCGGCACAGCUCUCGAUAUUCGGAUAUAGGGAUGGCCAUCCUCGGCUCAGCUGAUGUGGAUGGCUGUGAUGGAGCAGGUGUAGCUGGUGGAGCUCGAGGGAUGGCAGGAGUAGCAAGUGUAAUACCUUCAGGUGGAUGUCUUGGGGAGGCUCUCCUUGCUGCUGGCUGAGGCUGCCCAGGCUGAUCAAUUUUGUAGGCCGUCAUAUUAUUCCAUUUAUCAAGGGUAAAUGGCUCACGGCAUAUUCUCUUUCUUUCCUGCUGAGGCUCAGAGGGGUAUCCGAGAUGCUCCAAAACUUGGCAUAGCAGCCUUGGGAAGAGGAGUGGAAUGCAAUCUGCUCUUUGAAGCUUCUUCUUGUGAACCUUCUCCUCAAAGUAUAGAAGGGCUGCCAUGAUCAGAUGAUGAGGCCCAAAGAAGAAUCCUUCAGACAUCUUGUAUAGAGCUUCCAAGAGAAUUCCCCUUCUUUGGGUCCAAUGCUGCAGGGGAUAGAUAUUAUGCCUCAAAAAGGCAUCAAUCAAAAACAUCACUGGAGGUAGCUCCCCCCUCAGCAGGUGUGAUCGAUUGGCAGCUCCUCUGGACAGGGUGCUAACCAUCUCUAACUCAGUUGGAUUUGUCCAAGCUUUAAAAUUGUCGAAUUGGGUUGGCUCAAAAGGAAUUUGCAGAGCUUCAGCAAUGUGUCUUGCUCCCAAAAUACCAUGCCUUCCAUCAAUUAUGAAAUGGAUCAGAGUUGGAUUUCUUACUUCUUUGGUUGUCAUGGUCUGGUAGAAGUCCGUGACUACCCGAGGAUAGAAAAAAUCCCUUGGAGCUAGCAGAUGCUCCAUAUGAUAUCUCCUCAGCAGCUGGAAUGAUUGGGCAAGCUCUGGCCUCACUCUAAAUGCUGCUAAAUCGAAGCACAAUUCAGAAUGGAAUGCCCGAGUUCGGCAAUCCAGGUUUCCUUCGAUUGGGGGCUGGGGCAGCAUUGGCCUUCGGAUCACUUCUUCCAGAGGUGUUUCCGCUUGCAAUUUGGGGCUCUGGAAUUGGCGCUUGAGGCUCCUGAGCUUUUUCUUGGGGUGUCGAAGAUGGUACCGGCGAUGGAAUUGGAGUUGCUUCUGGUGAGGGAAUUGGCGAGGGAACCGGUGACGGCUCUGGAAUUUGUACCGGUGAAGGAUUUGGUGAAGAUACCGGAGAUUGAACCGGUGUUGGCUUUGGGGAUUUCUCAGGGGAUUGCUCAGUCAAAUCAAUUGGUUCAGAGCUCUCAACCCUGGGUUUCUUCUUCAAUGGCUGACCGCCUGACCUUGUUAAAUAUCGCCUUGCCGGCGGCUUUGGUGGCGUCGGCUUCACUGGAGAAGGAUUUGGUCUCGACGGCGAAGGCUUUGGAGCAGGUUCUGGAACAGAACCUGGACUUGGCUCCUUUCGCAGACUCCUUUUGCGGUUCGAAGGAGAUGAAGACUUUGCCCCUCGCGUUCGUGCCAUUUUGGGCUAUCGAUCGUUGGCCGGCGCUGCUGAACGGAGAAGACGACCGGAGGUUCGGACGGCGUGGCUUGGUGAAGAAGACGAAGGGGCUGCGAGAAUGGUGCUCUGAUUUUUGAAACCCUUUUCGCAGCACUUUUGACCGGUAUAAAUAGGAAAAACGGAAGCUCAGGGGUCAGUUUAAGUUUCGCAACAAAACGCCAAUUUCGCAGCAACUUGCCAUUUUCGCAGCAACUUCGCAGUGAGUUUCGCAGCUGCGAAAUUGAUGUCACUGUGCUGCGAAGUGGCACUCGUGUGCCAAAUCCACUUUUGCAAUUGCGAAAUGCCCUGCGGAGUAGGACUUUUAGUGCGAAAUCACGCUUUUUCAUUUCGCAACGCGUUUCGCAGCUGCGAAAUUGAUGCCACUGUUCUGCGAAGUGGCACUCGUGUGCCAAAUCCACUUUCGCAAUUGCGAAACACACUCGCAGAGGCUUCUACAGUGCUGCGGAAUGGGUUGGCAGCAAAAUGCCAAUUUCGCAGAAGUUUCCUUCACCCUGCGAAAUUUCGCAGAGCUCUGUUUUUCCCCUGUUUUUGCUCUGUUUCGGCUCCAAUUUCGGCCCGAUUUUUUUUCUUUUCAAUUUCCUUGAAAUUUCUUCCACCUGGGAUCAUAUAAAACGAUUAAAACACACCUAAAAACAUGAUUUAAGAUCAAAAACUAAAAUCAAAAGCAUGGAAACAACUUGAAAAUUUACAAAAUUUACAAAAAUUUUGGACUGUGGUUAAACCACGUCCAGCAAACUCAUUUCACUUAGACUUUUUAAGGUUCAAGGAGGUUGAUUGCCUCCUUUUCUGAUUUGAAUGACUCCAUGAACGGCUUAAGACGAUAUCCAUUGACUCUAAAGCUGUCCUUGCCAUUGGAAUUCAAUAAGUCCACCACUCCAUUGGAAUAUACUCGGUGAAUAACAAAUGGACCAAUCCACCUUGACUUGAGCUUCCCAGGAAAGAUAUGGAGUCUUGUGUCAUACAUCAAAACUUUUUGCCCUUCCUGAUUCAGUUUGCCCGGAUCCCAUUUGAAGCUUGCAUCCUUCACUUGAGACUUGGUUUGAGAUGAAGAUAUUACGACAGGACAUUGAUUAUUUUCUUCAAGAUAUGUAUAUUUCAACUCCACAGGUAAAGGCUUCAGAUUGAAUUUUGGAAUUUCUUUUUCAGUGGCUGCCUCCUCUUCUUCAUUGAACAAAGGUAGAAUUUCUUCUAUCUUUCUCCAACUUUGUAGAGUAGCAAGCCCAAUAGGCGAUUCAGAAAAACCUUCCUCAAUAUUCUCAAGAUUUUCAUUCAACUUAUCUUGCAUAUGUUGAUUACAGUGCUCCUCCACCAAAGUAUCAAUAAUACAUAGCUCUUCUGGACCUUCUUCUUCUUCCGGAGUGAUUUGCUUUUUAGACAUAUAGAAAAUAUUUAGAUCCAGUGUCAUAUUACCAAAAGUGAGUUGCAUAAGCCCAUUUCUACAGUUGAUGAUUGCAUUUGAAGUUGCAAGAAAUGGCCUUCCAAGGAUGAUAGGAACUAAAUUAGCUUCCUUUACAGUAGGAUCUGUAUCAAGAACAAUAAAAUCUACAGGAUAGUAGAAAUUAUCCACUUGAACCAAUACAUCCUCAAUUACCCCUCUUGGAAUUUUCACUGAUCUAUCUGCCAGAGAUAAAGUGAUUGCUGUGGGCUUCAACUCUCCAAGUCCCAAUUGCUUGUAGACAGAAUAUGGAAGCGAAUUCACACUUGCUCCCAAGUCUAACAAGGCUUUUUCCACUACCUUUUCUCCAAUCAUGACUGAAAUGGUAGGACUUCCAGGGUCUUUGUACUUCAAAGGAGACUUGCAUUGUAAGAUUGCACUUACUUGCUCAGUCAAGAAGGCUUUCUUGUUUACAGUCAACCCUCUUUUGAUAGUACACAAGUCCUUUAGGAAUUUUGCAUACGUUGGAACUUGUUUGAUCAUAUCCAGCAGUGGAAUAUUAACUUUCACUUGCCUCAAUACUUCUAGGAUUUCAGCUGCAUUUCUAACCCCCUUUUUCCCCUGUAAUGCUUGAGGAAAAGGUGGAAAAGUUGAUUUCUUCAGCAUUUCUUCCUUCAGAAGCUCCUUCUCUGGAAUUGCUUUCAUUGUUGCAUCAGAGUCCUUCUUUUCUUCACUGAUCUCACUGCCUUUAUCUUCCAUUUCCUUCCCUUUCUUCAUCUCUUCUUCUUUCUCAACAUGUGGCUUAGGUGCUGGCUGCUCAAUUUUUUUACCACUCCUUAGAGUGAUCAAAGCCUUCACAUCUUUCACCUGUGAUGAUUCUCCCUCAAGGCUUUCCACUUCAUGGACACCUUUGGGAUUUUGGUUAGGUUGAGAAGGAAAUCUUCCCUUUUCUUGCAGUGUAUUCAAAUUUGUAAGCCUGGAGAUUGAAUAUUGGAUGUUAUCAAAUUUUUGAUUCAUAUCAUUUUGCAUUCCAUCCAUUCUUUUGUUCAACAUACUCUCCAUUCUGUCCAUUCUUUGAUCCACUCUGUCCAUUCUUUGAUCCACUCGAGCAUUGGUGGCUUCUUGCUUUCCCACAAAAUCUCCCACUACCUUGCUGAGAUUAGCUAUUAUUUGUUCAAUACUUGAAGAUUGCUGAGAUGGUGGAUCCGGCUGUUGGUAUUGAGUUGCUCUGGCCUUCCAUGAGAAAUUUGGAUGAUUCCUCCAACUUGAAUUGUAGGUAUUUCCAUAAGGAGCAUUGUUAUUGGGCCUGAAUUGUCCAACAACAUUUGCUUGAUCUCUAUACAUUUCCCUUUCAGCUGAAAUUGCAGGGCACUCCUCCACCAAAUGUUCAAAUGAUUGACAAUUGGGACACAGCUUCACUUGCACUGGUGCUUCAGCAACAGCUUGCACUUCAUGCAUUCUUUUCAGCUCCAGCUCCUCCAAUCUUCUUGUCAUAGCUGCCAACUUUGCUUUCAUGUCAUCAUCUUCCCUCAAAUUAUACAUCCCAGCUUUUGCAUUGUAAGCAUUCAACUGAGACUUCAUCUUUCCCACUUCUCCUUUAGUUGGUUCAUCCCAUCCCCUUGAAACAUCAGCUACAUAGCUCAAGAAAUCCAUAGCUUCCUCUGGAUUUUUGCUCAUGAAAUCUCCUCCACACAUUGUCUCGAGGAGUUGCUUCAUUGAGGAUGACAUACCAUCAUAGAAAUAGCUCACCAAUAGCCAAGUAUCAAAGCCAUGGUGAGGACAAGCAUUUAUAGCUUCCAUGUAUCUUUCCCAACACUCAUAGAAUUUCUCAUUCUCUUUAGCUGAGAAGUUUGAAAUUUGCCUUUUCAAGCCAUUUGUUCUAUGAGUAGGAAAAAAUUUCUUGAGGAAUUCAGCUUGUAAAUCAGUCCAAGAGCGGAUACUCCUUGGCCUUAAAGAAUUAAGCCAAAUUUUGGCCUUAUCCUUUAAAGUAAAAGGAAAUAACUUAAGCCUCAUCAAAUCAAUUGAAGCUCCUCCCUCUUGGAAUGUAUUACAAACAUCUUCAAAUUCCUUGAUGUGUGCAUACGGAUUCUCACUUUCCAUCCCAUGGAAAGUUGGUAGAAGUGGAACAAGAUACGGUCUGAUCACUAGCUGCUCUGUAGGGGGCACUAUACAUGAUGGUGCACUCAUACGAGGUGGAUGCAUACGGUCCCUCAUUGAUCUGAAUUCAUUGAGAUUGUCUUGACGACCUUGGUGACUAUGCUGAUCUUCAGGUGCAGCCUCCAUGAUAUUCAAGAUUACUUCCAAUUCUCCUUUCUGAGGUGUAUCACACUUAACAAGCCUUCCUCCACUAUCUCGCAUCCACUUUGGCAUACACAACUAGUAUCUACCUAGAAAAAAAAUGAAAACAGAGGACAACAAGAAAAACAGGGCUACAACAACAAAAUUAAACUAGACUAAAAUUUAAAAAGAUAAACUUAGAUUGUAAAUAAACAAAGAAAGAAUGAAAAUUAGUAAAGUGAAAGAAACUUUACCAACUUGUGAUGAAAAUCACAAGUGCUCAAAAAUGGUAUCACAAUGAACUUGACACUCAUUCCCCGGCAACGGCGCCAUUUGACUCAUGCCCAAUUGGUGUCUCAGCUGAUUUGUGUUCAACUGGUGCUCCUUGAUUGAGGAAGUGAUCAACAAAAUUUAUACCUAUAACACCAUACACUAGGGUAGCAAAUACAAAGCUACUAUAGUAUAGUGGCUCUAAGGAUCGUUCACUGGAAAUGAUUUGCAAGCAAUCAAGGAUACCAAUUCCAAGUGAAUUGGUUUUGUUUCAUUUCACGGUUAGCUUAAGGAAUAAAACACAAACUUUGAUUUGUAAAGGUUGAGACUUAAACUAACUAACUUAACAGAAGUUUGGAAUAAUUUAGGAAGAAAAGCAUUCCUUGGACAUUUAGGUUCACUGGGGUGGUCCCUCAUGCAAAAGACAUAGCUCCGGUCAGAUGGUUCAUUUCCUCGCAUUAGAGAUUCAACUUAAAGUCAAUUCUCUAAUCGGUGAUGUACAGAGACUCCUUCAAUUAGAUUUCACUUUAAUUCUCUCACUGAUACAACUUGCAAUGGUUCAUGCCUCUCACGAGCACUUACCAUUCAAGGUGAUCUUUAACCUUGGAUUCCCCUUCACAAACUCGCAAGAGAUAAAUAAUGGAUGUCUCCUAGGAGUCCAAAAGCUUACCAAGUGUUGGUAAUUCCAGAAAAUCCUACCUUGAAGUCACCUACCAGAGGCUCGCAAGGGGUAAACUAGUGCAUUCCCACGGUUGGAAAUCACUUGCCUUACCAAGUGUUGGCCCAGGUGACUCCAAGAUAUUUUAAGUUAACUAAAAACAUUGAAAUCACUAAAGGAUUUCACUUCCUCUUCAUUAAAAACUAAAACCACAAAGCUUUGCAUUCUUGCACUUGGAACCUUCCCCGGCACCCUUAGCUCCAAGGAAUUGGAGGUUUAGUUACUCAUUCUCUGGGGAAAACUCCUCAGAGAAUUCAUAACUUAGAAAUAAAAUGAAAAUACAAAGUGAGAAGGUAAGGCAGUAGAAAGAAAAGACCUUUACUUGCUUCCCAAAAAUUUACAGAAGGAACUCUUCUCCGAGAACAGGCUCCCGAGAGGUAUUUAUAUCCAACUAAUAUAAAACUAAUUCUUACCAAGAUAUUUGGUCUUUUUACUAACUUAAAAACUAAGGAAUCAUGUAAUUGGUGGUUUACAAGGAGUAUUUUGGGAUUUAGACAACAAAAAUCUAAUGGAAAAUAUCUCCCAAUGUCGGUAGCAAGCUUCGGGAGGCUUCAGGAGCCAUUUCGCAGGUGAAAAAUGAGGCCUGCGAAAUUUCGCAGACACCCAAGAGGGCUGCGAAAUUAUCUUGCAAGACCGAGCUAUCUUCACUAGGCUGCAAAGUUGGCUUCCAUCUUGAAGUUUUCAGCUCCCUUCUCGCGGCAUGGUUCGUGCAUCGUUAGAAGGAGAAACACCUUACUGUACAAAAGUGUUGCGAAAUUCUCGCAACAAAAGGCUGAUUCCGCAACACUUUAGAGUGUCUGGCUUGUAAUGGCUGCAACUUCUUCGUUUCAACUCCAAAUUGCACACCGUUUGAAGCAUUGGAUUGUUGACUUCCUGAGCUUUGAAAUGGUAUAUAGCUUGCAUCAUUUGGACUUCAGAAAGUGCUCCAAAAGUGGCUGCUACGACUGUCAUCAAGAAUAUGCUCCAUGGCAGAUUCUCUUUGCUUUUUCUCCUUGCAAUCCGGAUUCACUCUUGGCAAUUGAAUUCUAAGCUUUGCCAAGAUUCCUCAUAGCUCUCCUCAUUCUUGACUUGCUUUGGUGAUCAAAAUACUAACAAAAACACCAAAACUUACACAAAGUGAUCAAAAUUGCUUUAAAGGAUCCUUAACAUGCCAAUUGAGUUAAAAGGCCUAAACUACUACUCAAAAGUGUUAAAAAGGAUUAAUUAAAGGCUAUCAAAUAGCACUUUUUGAGUAGUAAUCACCUAGAUAGCAAGCUAGUACUCCUCUAUGGGAAACAAAGUUAGCCUAAUAACAUAUUCAAAAUAAUCUCAUAUAUAUCACAAAAGAGGAAGCACAAUCAAUCAAAUAUCAAACAAACACUAUCGAAGAGAAUAUCAUGAAUGUCGGGGCCCCACCAAAGCCCUAAUUGCUUUUGCAUGAAUUUGUUCAGUGAAUUCCAUUGUUUGGAACCAUGAAAUUUAUUCAUGCUUAUUGGAAAUUGAGAAAAUCAAGAAAAUGGUUGAAAGUCAAGGAAAAUAGUGAAAGUGCAUACCAGAAAGAGAAUGGCAAUAAAUAGUUUGUUAGAAUUUGGAUUUUGUGCCUAGAAACUCCUAGGGAAUUUUAAAGAAAACUAGAGUUAUUUUUUACGAGAAAAGAUUUUGAAAUCCAGAUUAAAAUGUGUAAGAUCACAAAAAGAAGAAGAAGAAACAUUAGGAGGAGCAUGAUGUGUGGCAAGUGACCACUAUGUGAGUGAGGUCUGGAGGUGCACUUAAGACUAAAUUGCUGAAACAGAUUGCAUAGGGAGUAUUCUAUAGAUCGCUGGUUGUCUAAAAAGAAACUGAAUGUAUUCGUUUCAGAGCCCAUGUUCACUGGAUUUUAGGGUGCCACCUCAUCUGAAAAGGGGCUUCAAUUCAACUCUAGUUUCUCAGGAUCACAACCCGAAUUAUCAACAGAAGCUUCUGGUGGAGACGUAAGGCUCAAUUUCAGAUUAAGUUCCCUCUUCUAUAACUCAUUUUCUCUGAAUUUUCCUUUUAUAUCUGUGGUUUCUGAUCAUAUAAGUUGUCCGUCUAGUUCCUUGUUUGAGACUCUGUAGAACCUGGAAUAAUGUUUCUAAGUCCAGCUGAAGGAACCUGCACUCCUUUUCAUGGAACCUGAGGCAUGUGUUAAUUUGAAACUCUGUUACUUUGCCUUCCAUUGCUUUAAGUCUUUUAGCCAUCUCAGCCAUAAAUCUGGAGAUUCAUUGAUCUUUCUUUAAUAUUCAAGCCAAAUGUCAAUUUAGUCCACUUAAACCCUGAUUUGAAUAAUUUCGAACUCUCUUUUUGCGUUCUUGAUGUCUUUCAUUUCAACUACAACGGAAAACCACCCUUCAAAAAAGAAAUCUGGACCGAAUCCUAAACAUUUUAAUUCACAACUUCCUGAGCCUGACUGAGAGUCGACACAAUUGAAUCACCUUGGAUAAGAGUGCUUCUAAAAAACCUCCGGAAUAUAGACACAAGUGCAGCAUUCGCUAAUAAUGACCAUGGCAUGUUACAAAGGAAAGCUUCUUUCUCAUAAUCAUCAACGCAUAUUGACUCUUAAUGGGCCCCAUUGCCUGCAUCACAUCAAAGACUGGAUAGACAGGGAGAUUCACAAUUUCGAUAGCUAUCUUUGCAUUAUUUGGGCAGGACAAUCAUGUCAUGGAUAUAUAGCUUGAAAGUGACUCAUGUUUUGUUCUGUUUGCUGCCCAAGCAGCUAUGGAGUUGUUGUUUUGAUUUUGUGUCCUGUGCGUGGAUUUCAACCCUCUCGUGAGCUUUGUUGUGAGACAUUCCACGUCAUGCAUCUGUCUCUGUGAAAAUGCAGUGACACGCUGAAUAAUUUUGGCUGGAAGUACACGUAUUGUUAAGAUGUGAUAGCCCAUGAGAAAGCUGGGGAACCUUGAGAAUGCCUGUUGGAUAGGAACCUUUCAUAUUAUUCUUUCCUCUCCUCAUGCUCUACCUGGAAAUAACAGUGACUUCAUUUCUACUGCUUUGUUCAUACCCUCCGGACCAAUAUCUACUUCAUCUCUCACGAAAUCUGGUUCUGCUAAUGAAGUCCUACCCUCAGUCAGUUUUGCAAAGCGUAACUUAAUUUUACGUUUGUAAGGUCCCAGGUUAUCACUCUGGUCGAUGGAAUUCAUAGCCCGACAUAACCUUUCCUGAGAAGUUGGAGAAAUUGCUUUUAUGGUAUGAAAGAACCUUUCUGGACCAUGCUAAAGCUCUGAAUGUUGAUUGUUUUCCAUUACAACUGAUGUGACUUCCUCGUCACUAGUGUUAUAAGAAUGACUCCAUGAGAAGUUUCUUGCUGCAUCAGAACCAACAAGCAUUAGGAGUUGCUUCACCUCCGUUACUGGCUGAUCAUCACCUUCAGAGACCAAACAGCUGGUUGGACCAUGGCAUGGAUUGGAAUUCUGCAUACUGACAUCAGUUGCCACUAUCUGCAAACUCAAUUCACUCAAGACAACUGUGGAGAAAUGAAUUUCACUGCCAUCUCUUCCUAAAGUUUCUGUUUUCAUGCUACUGCCAUCACAACCCAAGCCAGAACUUGGUGCACUCCAAUGUCCAAUAUUUAUUCUGAUUCGGGUUCAGAGAGUGAUGAGAGAUCGAUUGGGUUUACUACACUUCUGAUCUGGAAAUAUGCAUCAUCAAUUUAUUUUAUAUUAACAUCUGAGUUCUGCUUCUGUCGUCAACCUGCUCACAAACAAUUUUCUUCAACUGAGUGCUCGUGCCUUUAUUGAUAUUUUCUUUGCAGCAGCCUGGAAAUAAUGGCAUAGAUGAUUUUGUACUUCAGGUGAUAAGAUGUCAUGAAGAAGUGUGUAAAGCUUUACAGCAGGUUCCAACACAGGUGCGGAAAGCCUAGUUGUUGGCCUGAAAGCAUCUAUAAUUCCAGAAGCAGAUGACUCGUCAAGUGGCUUAUAAUUUUCAAAAACUAGUGCAAGGAUCUGUUCAAUUUGAUCCUUGAUUUCUCCUAAGAUCCGGUUCUCUUGAUGACUCAAUGUACUCUUACUGUGGCAAUUUAUGGUGACGGGCAACAACAAAUCAUAUACUAAGGUCGGACAGUCAGCUGUAGGUGUAGCCACAUCUUUGACAUAAGAUAAAUACCUCAGCUUGGUGUAUACAUCAGAAACACCAUAACAUGAUGCAAACUCGGUUAGUAACCACUUCCAGGGCCCAUGGAUUAAUAAGUUUCUCUAUUGAAAAUGCUGAAUUUUCAUGGCAAAUUCAAGUAUACUCCAGAAACCGAGCUUGGCACUAAAAUCAUGUUUCAUUCGAGUCCUCGCUGCGAACCAACUGCUGAAUGGUUGGCCAUUCAUAUUUAUGUUAACAGGCAGCUUGGAUUUGCAUCAAAAUGGAGUUAAAUGAGAAAUGGACUGAUCAAAGAAGGAUGAUGUGGAUCAGGGGAGAGAGAUGUAUCAGUGACUGUCUAUCGCAAGCUUUUUGCAAGAAUAUUCUUCUGUAUUUUCCACCCUCUAUCCACAUUGUAUAUUCUAAUAUGGCUUCCCUGAAACCCUUCCCCUUCCUGGAUAAUUCCUUUCUUAACCUGCCAGCAUCUUAACCGUCAAAACAGGUGAGUCACGCUUUCCAGGAAUAAUCUGACUCAGACAUUUUCUGUUCCUCCUAUUUUUUUUUAGGAUGAUACAGGUUUAGAAUUCUGCUCAUUCAGUACUGUUCCUUCUGAGAGCUGAGGUAAUUUAUCAAUAAGCCUAGGAAUUUACAAAUUGUCUUUGGAAAUGCAAGAACUCAGAGCCAGUCUAACAUCUAGUCUUGCCCAUGUGCAAACUGCACUUAAUUUUCCUUCCAAAGCUUCAACAAGGAAUAGUUCUUUUAAGAAAAUAUUGUGCAACUUUAUGCAGCCAAAUGUCCUUGGUUGAAAGUAUGUGCGUUAAUCACUGGACAAGUUUGUAAGAAAGAACCACUGGGAUGAAAGAUGCAGGCAACCUUGAUAAGAGAAGAAGCAGAACAUCAGAUGCCAAGUGUUUGCAGUCAUGAUAUGCUGAUUUUGAAUCAGAUAUAGAGCUUGCGCUGUUGUCUCUCGAUCUCCGUACAAAGGAUCAGAGUGUGCGUGAGGCAAUUCUUUCUGACACAUGAAACAGUCCUCCAACCUUGCGGUUGUCUUUGGAAGAAUUACUUAUUGAUGAGCCCAUCCAUUAGAUAAGACUACAGGUCUUGUGCUGAAACUUGAUGCCAUAAGGUCUCUAUGGGAAAUUGCCAAAAGUCUCAGUAUCUAUCUUCAUUCGCGUAGAGAACCUGUUCUGUCCAUUCCUAGUCCCACGAGCAUGAGAAUUAUAAGAAAUCGUGUCAAAGAACUUAUCCUUAUUAUAAGCGAGUUUAGCAUCUGAUUUGGGUACUAGUCCAUAACCCUCUCUGUGACCCAAGCCUUGACCAAGUGCAUUGUCUUCGAUCCCUUUGCUUUGCCUUUCCAAGAUAACCCCGAACUUCAUCCCUUUUAAACCUUUCAUUCAUCGCCAUAAAAUUGAAUUCUUCAGUGAACUGCACAGUAGACUUCUGAGACUGUUAAGCAGAGGCUGGCAAUGGCAACAAUAGUGCUUAAAGUGCUGGAGUAGAUAUUGUGCUCAAAGUAUUAGGAGAUGUUGAUGUCGAAGCAACCUUAUCCAUCUGAUCAGGAUAUACUUUGUGUGAGGAAGAAAGUAUGGAUGACAUGGGCUGUGCUAAUUGAUCAGGAGUUAAUAAAGUUGGUGGUAGAGUUAGAAGGAGGCCAGAGGUGGAACCUCCAAUUGUGGAUGCAGAAUGAUGCAGGGGAUGGAUAUGAGGCACAAAUACCAGAUCAGAAACUAUUUUACCAGUAAUUGGUGGAGAAUCGGAGGAUUUCAUCUCAAAGCUUUCACACAAUUUUCCAGUUUUCAGGGACUUGAGAGAGGUAGUAUACUAAAUAACCAGAAAAUGGCAUAAGAAAUUGGACAGUCAUUUAUGAGAAUUCCAUCCAAAUUCAUCGUCCGAAUGUAAGCAAUUCUGUUGGGAUCGUCCCUAGCAAAACCAUGUCACAAGGAAUUGUCUUAUCUGCACAGAUCUUCACCACCCUACUAGACCCAUCAUCCAUCAUCUCUACUGAAGCAUUGAUCAAUACCAAAUCUUUAAAAAGAGAAAUAGGGAAUCCUGGCAAACCACUACCGGAUGAAGUUGGCUCUUUGGCAUCAUCAGCAUCUUUCAAUUCUGAACCUGUUUGCACUGGCUUUGAUUUAUGAUUUUCAGAAACAACCCCAUGCCUCUCUUUGUCCAAUGCUGAGGAUUAUAUUCAGUUAACUGUCCACAGAGAUCACUGCGCCCAUUAUUUUAGACUGAGAAAGCAUGGUGAAACCAUGUAGUUCUCUGCAUAAUUUUUUUUUCAUAUUUUGUCUACCUGAAACAGCAUGAUUUCUAUCUGUCCACUUGUAUGCGUUAUCAAUCCAUCACAUUUCUACCACACUGAGACCUGGUUUCUUCGUCAGCCUCCAGUCUUCGAGCUCUCUCCUUAACUUUACUUUUUCAUCCCUUCUCUUGCAUGAGGCAUAUAAAUUUGACCGCAACGUCCGAUACCCACAAUUAUCAGGUGCUAAUUUUAGUAGUUCUUCUCCAGCAAGCAAACCAAGUUCUAUGUUCAUGUUCAUCAUACAUGCACUCGGAAGGGCUCCCAAACAGCAUCACAAUCCCACAAAGCAUCACCAUCAGAAUUCUGAUGGAGCCCUGAUUGGAGCCAAAAUAUGUGCUCUAAUGGCACAUAUUCGAUAUGAUUUGUGCAUCAAAGGACAUUCAAAUCACCCUCCUUGACCUAAAUCAAUGUUAAGGCCCUAACCAUGAGUUUAAUUUUUUAAUUUGGAGACUUAUUUCAGGUUCAAGGAAAGAAAAUAGUGCAAGUUGAAUCACUUUAGAUUUUGAAAGAUCAAGAAAUGGCUAAAUGAGGAAAUAAGUCAAGACUCAUGGACCAUAAGGAAAGAAAAGAUAAGGAUAUCAUGAGUUUGGAAGAUGAGAAAUAACCAUUAUGGAGUAAGAAAGAAGGCAAUAAAACAUGGGAAAUGAGGUAUGAAGCAAGAUUUAGCUGCAUGGAAAUUUAGAACUCAAAAAUCUGAUGGCAUUAUAUACUCUGAUUUUGAGGAUAAAUUUAGAGCAUUUUCUAGAGUCCAUUAUAUACAUACUAUAUAUCAUUUCGAAGCUCGGGAAUUCAGGAGUCCAACACUUUAAAUAGUGUGCAAAUCGGAGCUAAAAUGAAGAAGUUAUAGUCAUUUGUAGACAAUUGUACCAAGCUGGAGGGUCAUUUCGAAAUGAUUUCAAAAUUCAACUUAUAAAUUCGAAAUCCACUUCAAAAUGACACCAAUUUCGAAUUCACCCACUGCCACUUUGAUGUUUCGCCUCUUCUACCUCGGGAAUUGCAUCUAUUCAAUUUAUGAAUUCGAAAUCCACUUCGAAAUGGCACCAAUUUCGAAUUCACCCACUGCCACUUUGAUGUUUCGCCUCCUCUACCUCGGGAAUUGCAUCUAGGGCACUCCAUCUGCCCUAAGUGGACCCCACAUGACUAGAAGUCACCAUAUUAUUAUUAUUUUUAGGAAACUAUUUUGUAAUAAGUGGCCAAUGAGAGUGUACCACAUGUUAGGUAAUUGAUGAUAUUAUAUAAACUCUUUUAAUUCUAGGUAUUAAAGAUCUUAGAUUUUUAUUUUUUUCUAGAGAGUUUGACAUUGAAGGUGGAAGAAGACGAGAACUUUGGUUUGUUUUCUUUUUCUUCUUUAUUAAAUAUAUUGUUUUUAGUUUCUUUUUAUUCAAAUUAUGGAUUUUUACCCUAUUAUGGAUUGUGAAUGUGACAUCACCCCCAUAAGAGGCUAAGAGCCAACUUGGGGCUUGAAGCAUGAAAACCUAAGGGCUAGGAAACUUAUAGAGACAAUGGGUAAAUUAUUAUAACAAUGAGAUUAAUUAUUGGUUGGGUGACAAUUUAUCAAUUUUUUUUAUCCUAUCCUUGUGAGUUAGUUUAGGGAAUGAUACAGUAGGUUAUUACCCGAUAUUAGUGAUUCUUGGUAAUUCUUGAUCAUUAGUUAUCCUCGUCUUCCCUAUCAUUAUUUGCCCCAAAACAAAGCUAUAAGGAGUAUGAAGGGUUAAAAAGCAAAAUCUUAAACUAGUAAUCAAUCUCAUUCAUUUAAUGGUUUUAGGAAUCUAUUUUAAAAAGGAAAAAUUAGGUCUCGGAUGCAAUUUUGAGUUAUAGAACUCAACUUGAUCGUGAGCGGCCAAAGAUCCCAAAACCCUAAGAUCAUAUCAUUUAAAAGACCCUUGUUUUCUCUAAUUUCUAUACCUUAGGUUGGAUUGUGGAAAACUCCAAGCUUGAAUCAAUUGAAUUUAAAAUCAAUAUUCAUUUUGUUAUUAAUUUAAUUUCUUUUACUUAGUUUCACAUUAUUCACAUAUGGAUUUUCACUUUAGGAUUUAAACAAAAGUAAUUUAUUUAUUCUAGUAUUGACAAUUUCCAUAAGUCAGUCCUUGAGGAUGAUACCCGGAGUACUACAAAAGUCGUAGUGACUCUUUCUCUAGUUUUUCUUAACUAGAGUUGCUACGUGAAAAGGCUAAGUAUUAUGGUACAACAAAGAAGUUCAGUCAAGCCCAUUUUCUAUUAAUUGAUAUGCUUCUUCCAACCUUCCUGCUCAUGCAUACAUGUCAAUAAUACAAGUCCAUUGCUCAAAACCCAGCUGGAUUUUGUACUUUCUCAUCAUCAUAUCAAAGUACCAGCAACCUUCUUCAAUCAAGCCAGAAUGACUAUAAGUUGAGAGUAAAGAAGUAAAUGUGAUGGAAUUAAGCUUGUAGCCAUCUUUUUCCAUAUGAGACACAAGCUCACAUGCUUCUCUCCCUUGACUAUUCAUUCCACAUCUAGCAAUCAUUAUAUUCCAUGAGCUUUGGUCCCUCAAAUUACCCAUCUGCAUAAACAAGCUUCUUGCCUUUUCUAUAAAACCAGUUUUUUGCAUAUACAUCAAUUAGAGAAUUCAUGACCUAUGUUUUAGAGUCAAGUCCUAGAAACCAUGGGCAAUUUCAGCACCACAACUAGUCAAAAUAGUUGCAAAGGCCUGAAUGAAUGAGAUUAUUGUGACUAAAUCUCGUUUGUAUUGAUUUUCUAACCGCGACUGGAAAAAAACUCUCAUGACCAUGGCAGAGUCACCAAUUUUGGCAUGCCCAGAAAACAUUGUGUUCCAUGAAUCCAAAUUCCUGUCGAAUAAUUCCCCUUCAAAUAUGGUUUGAGCACACUCAAUCCUAUCAGACUUCGCAUGCAUAUUGACCAUAGCUAUUCCAAGACGGAGGUUGGAAAUUAAUCAUGUGCAAAUCAAGUGCCCAUGAAUACUUUUUCCUAGAUCAAGGUUCCCAAUUUUUCCACAAGCCAACAAUAAACCUAAAAAUGUAAUUCAGUUUGGAAAAAAAUCUCCAACACUUUUCAUGGAUGAGAAAAGGUUGAAUGCUUCAGCCCAAUUACCAUUCCAUGCAUAUGUUGUAAUCAAUGAAUUCCGAGACACUAUCUCUUUUUGGCAUGUCACACAAAACGCGUUUCCCAAAAUCUAUCUUUCCAAUCUUAAUAUACAUUGAAAUCAAGGAAUUCAAUUAGAAACUCAUGAACCAACGCUCCCUAUUUCAGGUUUCCCAAUUCACCACAAACCAUAAUUACAUGAAAUGCAGGAUCCAAAGAAGGUAACAAACCCACAUCUAGCAUCUGGAUAGUCUUGGCUGCAACCAUUCCUUUUUCGCUCUUGUGUGUUUUUCCACAAAGACCAUCCAAGAAUCCACUACUCCAGCAUCCUUUCUUAUGUAUAUAUAUCAGCCCCAAAAAACCCAAAACUGUUCCAAAAAGGAAAAUCCCUCAUUUCUUCUUUUUUUUGUCAUUUUCUUUCCUUUUUGCAAUCCUUUUUUUUUUUUUAUGUAUUUGUAUCAGUCUCCCAAAAACUCAAUCUGCUGAAGGAAAUCCACUUUUCUUUCUUCCAUUUCUCUUCCUUUUCAAAAUCAAAAUACCUCUCCCUUUCCUUUGGAGAAUUCUUUCCUCCCAUAUGUAUGCAUCCAAGUUGAUCUCUUUUCUUCAAAAAUAUUUUUGUUUGCCUUCUUUGAGUGUGCAUGCCUUUAUGAGAGUUGAUCUGUAGCCCUCAUUCUCUUGUCAAACAAUAAAAACGAAAAUAAAAAGAAUGAAACCAAAAAAGAGUUAGCAAUCUUGCAACAUAGAAUAAUGUAAAAUAAAAUAAAUAAAUAAAGUAAAACAAAAUAAUUAAAUAAAAUAAAAUAAAAUGGUCAAUCUAUGUGGGUCAUGCAAGUCAUGCGACUAUGUAAGUCAUGCAAGAAACGCUAAAAAAAGUCUAAUAGGACAAGUGUGCCUAAGAGGGCCUAAGUGAACCUAGACGGGCCUAAGGUGUCUAAUGGGUUGGGUAUACCUAUUUUAACCUAGGGUGAGACUAGGUGGGCCUAACUAAGUUUGACUUAAAGUGCACCUAAGUGAAGCCUAAUCUAAACUUGAAGGGCAGCCAAGGUCAUAAUGUGAAGCCGAAUAAACCCCUCAACCAAAGUCUCCAAAGUGGCUUAGAAAAUAUAAGUAGUAUGAAUAGCAAUGGGCUAUGAAAGAACUAUCGUGGAGCUCUGGAAAUGAACUUAAAGACAUGUGCUAAAGGGACAAAAUGGAGGGUCUACAACAAACCAAGUGCUCCUGUCAAGGUUGAAUGAACCCUUCUGGUUGUACCAUGUGGACCAAUUCCUCCAAAUCACCAUGAAGAAAAGUUGUCUUUACGUCCAUUUGCUCCAACUGCAUAUCAAAAUGUGCUACCAACCCAACACUAUCCUAAUGGAAGUGUGUUUGACCAUGGGGGAAAAAAUCUCAUCAUAGUCAACCCCUUUCCUCUAUGAGUAACUCUUUGCUACUAAACGAGCUUUGAAUUUUUCACCAUCUUUUUCUAAAACUAUUUCUUUCUUCUUGUACAUCCAUUUACAUCCUAUUGCUCUCUUCUCCUCUAGAAGCUCCACCAACUCCCAUGUCUAGUUCUUAUGCAAAGACUACAUCUUCUCCACCAUAGCACCCAUCCAUAUACUUCUCUCUUGGUUGUGUAUUGCCUCUUGGAAGGUAGUAGGAUCCCUGAUACUAGUAAUUAGUGCAUAAGAAACCAAAUCUUCAAAACCAUACCUAAUAAGUGGCCUGAUAGUGCGUCUGUUUUUUGUUUGUGGCUAUACUAUGAUGUUGUUAAUCUUCUAAACUAGACCUCCCUACACUCCAAGCAUUUUCUUCUAUUCCAUGGGUCUCUAGUUCCACUUGUAUCAAUUGCUCAUUUCUGAUGCAAUUUUCUAGCUCUUGUUUCUCUUCUUUUUUAGUACACUGUAACAUGGCUUUCUCAUCAAAAACCACAUCUCUACUGAUCACCACCUUGUUUGCCUUUGGAUCCCAAUACUUGAAGUCUUUCACUCUUUUCUAAUAGCCCAAAAAAAUACAUUGUCUAGACUUUGCAUCAAGCUUCGAUCUCUUCUCAUUAAGAAUGUGUACAUAGGUUGGGCACCCAAACACUCCCAAACCAAAGUAGUCUACUGCACUAUCUGUCUAUACCUCCUCUACUACUUUCCUAUCUAAUGUUGCCCUAAGUGACCUGUUGAUCAAGUCACAUGUCAUGUUCAAUGCUUCUGCCCAGAAUUUCUUUUCAAGCCUUGCAUUCAAUUUGAGACACCAAGCUCUUUCAGCUAUUGUUCUGUUCAUCAUUUCUGUUACACCAUUUUGUUGUGGUGUCUUGUGUAAUGUGAAGUGUCUCUUAAUCCCAUGUUACUCACACAAUUUCGUGAACUUUGAAUUUGUAUACUCGGUACCAUUGUCUGACCUGAGGCAUUUUAUCUUCCUCCCUGUUAGGUUUUCUACUUCAACUUUCCACAACUUAAACUUGGCAAACGUAUCUAACUUGUGUCGCAUGAAGUACACCCAAACCUUUCAUGAGUAAUCAUCAAUAAAACUCACAAAAUAUGUAUUUCCUCCCAAUAAUGCUACCCUUACUGGUCCCCAAACAUCUAUAUGGACAUAGUCAAGAAACUCAUCUGUCUUAUGUAUGAUUGUCUUAAACUGCACUUUAUUAUGUUUCCCAAAAACACAAUACUUGCAUAAAUCAAGUUUACAUGUUUUGACGUCCUUCAAUAGAUUUAUCUUAUGAAGCUCCAUCAUCUCACGCUCACCCAAUGACCUAAUUGCAUAUGCCACAAGACUAUACUGUAUGACUCAGACUCUGCGGUUGCAACUCCACCCACAACUGUGGUACCUAACAGUUUAUAAAUAUUUCCUACUUGCUUCUACCCCUUCAUCACUGUCAUAGCACCUUUACUCACCUUCAUUACUCCACUUGUAGACUUGUAACUAAACCCAUUACAGUCUAAGGUCCCCAAUGAAAUCAAAUUCUUCCUUAAAUCAGGUACAUGUCUAACAUCACACAAUGUUCUAACAAUACCAUCAAACAUUUUAAUUCUGAUAUUCCCUAUUCCAGCAACUUUACAUGAAGUAUCAUUACCCAUCAAAACAGAACCAAAAUUUACUAACAAGUAUGUGUUAAACCAAUCUUUAUUGGGUUUCAUAUGAUAAGAGCAUGCUGAAUCCAAAAUCUAAGAAUCUAUAAGAUGAUCUGAACUGGAUGAAACCGACAACAUAUCACCAUCACCACUCUCUGAGUCUUCUUCUACCACUACAUUCGUAAACUUUGAUGAACCCUCUUUAUUUUCUGUACCCCAUUUGUUUUUCUCUGGACAAUUUCGUUACAUGUGCCCCAUUUUUCUGCACUUAUAACAUUGUAUGUCUUUUCUCUUCCUGGAUUUAGAUUGAGAUUUGUUGUUACUUGAUUCACUCCGAAACUUCUUUCUCCCACGCUCCUGAUUUCUCCUUGCCACAAGCCCUUCACCCUAUGAACUCUCAUCAUUGGCUUUCUUUCUCUGAUUAAAACCUAAUAGAACACUUGUGAUCUUCUCCAAUUCGAGAGUUUCUUUUCCCCACAUCAGAGUUGUGACUAGAUUAUCAUACGUAGAAGAAGCAGGUAGGGAAUUCAGUAACAUCAAUGCUUUGUCUUCAUCUUCGAACUUCACAUCAACUCGCUUCAAAUCAUUGAUGACAUGGUUGAAUACAUUGAUAUGUUGGCUUAGAUCUGAGCCCUCUACCAUCUUAAGACCACACAGUUUCUGCUUAAGAUACAACUUGUUCGUCAACGAAUCAAACAUAUACCGACUUUCCAAUUUCAACCAAAUUGCAAACCGAUGAUUCCUCAUCCAUUACAUGGUACAUCACAACAUCAGCUAAACAAAGCUUGAUAGUUGUCACAGUCUUCACUUCUAAAUCCUUGCAAUCUAUGGCAUUCAUUCCUUCUGGUUGUUUUCAGCAUAAUGCCUUCAUAAUGCCUUGUUGCGCUAACAAAUCCCUAACCUUCCUCUGCCAUAGACCGCAAUUCCUAGAUCCAUCGAACUUGACUAUGUCGAACUUCGUAGAAGAAAUCCCAUACAUUGGAACCUAGUGCUCUGAUACCAAUUGUUGUGAUUCCUGCAGCAAUUCCUAAUGAAGAAAUUAGAGAAAACAAAAGAAAAACACACAGAUUUAAUGUGGUUCAGAAAAAUGCCUACGUCCACGGGAACUGGGUUGAAGAUUUUCACUACUCCAAAAUUAAGGUUACAAGAAAGGGUAUUUAUACUAACCGUCGUUCCACUCCAGCAUUUGCCCAUUUUUUUCUAUGUCUUUCACUCAAUAUGAGCCACAUAGUACAACAAGGUUCCCAACGUGAAACAUUUUCAGAAGCCUUUUUUGAUGGGAGCAAAGGAUUGUGUAGGCACCCUCUAAGUGUAAGUUGCCAAGAUGUUACACCAUCGAGAUUUGAUGGCAGCCACUCACAACCUACUUUUGAUGGCAGCCGCUCACCACCGACAUCUAAUAGCAGGCACUCAGGUUCCAAGAUGGAGAUUAAAUGGGAAUACAUAGCUCCUGAAAUUGGAUUCAUGACAAGGUUAGGAAUUGUGUAUUGGUCUCUAGUGUUGUGCAAGAGAUAGAGGAAAUGAUACUACAAACAUGUUGAUAGAAUUCUUUCAAGGAUUCUCCGUGGGCAAGACCAAGGAAGAGCAAGUGGUGGAAGAAGAGCUCACAGAAUUCGGAGGCAAAGAAUGUAGCAGUGGUGUAAAGGGAUUUAGUUACUUGUCAAGAGUCUUGUUUCCAUUAAUGCAAUCCUAUGUUACAUAGAAGAAAUAUUAAAAGGUUUUUAUUUAAUAAAGAAUUUAAAUUCUAAAACCACUCCACCGAAGCUUUUCUACAAAUAUUUUAGUCAUAAAAGUCUUUUUUCAACCAUUAUAUUAUAUUUGAUUCUAAUGAAGUAUUAUUACCAAAGAAAAAUAAAAUAUUAAGAAAAAUUAUUUUCUCAUUUUUAUUUGUUAUAUGAAUAAUGUAAAAAAGAAUCAAAUAUGACUUGAAUUAAUUAAAAACUUAUACAUUUUUAAAUUAUUUAAUCUUUAUAUUUAAGAGUUAAAAUAAGUGAAAUGAGUUUGCAAUAAUAUAUCAAAAUAAUUUAUAGACUUUAAAUUUAUUUUUUAUUUUCUUUCACAUUUUUUCUUUUUCUACUUUUCUUUUCUAUUUUCUUUUUCUUGCAUUUUUAUUGAAAAUUUUCAAGAACCAAACAUAGUCUUAAACAUUCAAAAAAUUAGCUAUUUUAAAAAUAUAAUAUUUCAAAUUAAAUUUCUUUUACAUAUUAAAUAAAAAAAAUUAUAUGUUCUACCUACAUGCAGAAAAGCUUUACAUUCAAAAUUAUAGUCUAUAUUAUGAGUGAUAAUUCAUAUUAGUAGGUCAUGUUCAUGUCAUGUCAAAGUUUAAGUAUUCUACUAUAUAGUUUAACCCAAAUCCAACAUAAAUAAUAACUCAUGUAAAAAAUGUAAACCCAAAUACUAAUUAAUUAUUGAACAUGUAAUAUGUCAUGUAACUCAUUUAAUCCAUUUAAUAAUCUAAUCCUCCUGAUUAAUAAUCAAGUUGAGUUAGAUUUGUAUAUAUCUAUAUUAUUAAUGUGUCAAUCAAAUAUAUUUAUAACUCAAUUGAUUUAUUUAUUUAAAAAUAAAUUUAAAAUAAGUAAAAUAUGAGUUAAAUAGUUUAAAGAUAUAAUUAGGUUAAUAGCGGGACUAUUAAAUUGGUCAAUUCAAAUCAAAUCCAUGUUAUUGAAUUAAAAAUUAUCUAUUUAUUAAAUAAGUUAUAUAAGUCGAUACGAAUUUGAUCUCAACUCAUUUAUAUUCAACCAAAACCUACAAAAAAUGUGUUGGAUUUAUAUCAUGUUGACGAAUCAUAUCAAACUUUGUCACCAUUAUCCAUAACCCUAUUAAACCUACACAAAAUAAAAUUUUAAUUUGAGAGGUUCAGAAAGUAAUUUUAGCUGAAAAGGAGACUUGGUUAAGAAUUAAGAUGAGUCGGUUGGGUGUGGGCUGUUAAAAAAGUCUGAGGCAGGCCUGGCCCAUAGUAGAGCUACUGAAUGUGGAUUAUUAAAAAUUCUGAGUCUGGCCUGGCCGAUAGUAGAGUUGGCUGAACAUGGGGUUGCUAAAAAUUCUGAGCCUGGUCUGGUCCAUAUAGGACUCCACUGAGACUGCUAGGCCCACAUUUAGCCAUGAGGGCCUGAGUUGGGUAAAACUUGGCUGGCUGGAUUCGGGUCAAAACAACAAAUAUGGGCCUGAUUUGUACAAACUAAGACCAAGUUAAAUUGCUAGGCCCAUAUCCACCCCAAUCAACACAGCUCAUCUUGAGCCUAAGGGCCUCUUUUGGAAAACCGUAUUCUAAGGUCUUAUUUGCACACUUUUUCUGUAUUUAAAAGAUAGAAACUUUUAUAUAUAAAAAGUAUUGACUUAUCUCAUAUUUUUAAAAUUCACUUUCAAAAAUUUUAAAGUUUAAGGUAAUCUAAAUUUUUUAAUACUCAAUUUUAUAAAAUAGUUUUAAAAACAAUUGCAUUUUUUCUAUUUUUAAAAAUAGAAAAUAGAAAAUAAAAAAUAAAAAAUAAAUCCAAACAAAUAUUAGCAAACAAAUAAUUUACCAUACUAAUUAGCAAGGUCUUACAAGUCCUUGUUCUGGAACUACACCUAAUUCAACUCUCUUUUCCUUCAACAUUUUCCUAGAAUGGAACUGAUUUUUGAGUCUUUGGUACUUCUCAUCAUACCCUUCUAAAUGACUUCAGAUUCUUGGCUAUUUCUGCCUCCUCCCCUCACAACAAUUUCUAAUCAAUUUUCUUGUUGGAAAAAAUUCCAUUUGGGUCUUAUCAGGAAAGAGGUUGGCAUCCAAUCUUCACACAACAAAUGGUAAGAUUAAAUGGAAGGAACAAAGGGGUGAAGAGAAACAUGAGUCAAGAGCCCAUGCGCUCCAGUUUCUAGAGAAAAGGGUGGGACCCAAUUUAGGCAGGGAUUUGAUUACCUUGUCUAGAAAACAAAGGGGUUGGACCCAUGAAAAGAAAUUGGAGGUUGGCAGGUUUUGAAUUUUGCUAUUUAUUGGUUGUUGGCAUGUAUACACCCAGUCAAGUUUUAUUAGAAGAUGGUAUUUUAUUUGGCGCCUGUUGUUAGUGUUUGAUUAUGGUAUUUGAACCACCAAUUUGGUGUGGGACAUCUAGUCCAAUUUAAUUACUGUUGAGAAUUGAAAGUAACAAAGUUGUUCAUCAAAUUUACCUUUUGACAAACUUUAUGGAAUUUCAAUUCCAAAGAAGACAAAUGUGUAGCAUUCAAGUGUGACAAUGUAAUUAUAUAAAUUAAUCCCAUGUGUUAGACCCCACAUUGAAAAUUUUAUAAUAGCUAAACAACUUUUUUGCACAACAUUUCUUAAUGAAAUUUACGUUUGUCAAAAAGCUUGAAUUAAAACAAAAAGAAUUUUGAAACUUUAAAACAUGCUAUUUAAUUAUUAUUCCAAUAAUUUUACCAUAUUUUGUAGACAAAAAAUAACUACAUUAAUAUGCAUUAAUAUAAAUCACGAUUUACUUUUAAGCCCUAUUGGAAUUAACUUCUAAAGGCCAAAAAUUUCUUUUAAAAUUUAAUGACAACUUCUUUAUUUGUUUACAAUUUUAUGGCAUUGUUUUAUAAAUUAAAAUUCAAAAAAAUGUUCCUUAGAAACUAUGAAACAAGGUUAGUUUGAUUAAGAAAAACACCCCAGAGUCGGAGUGAAUUAGGUAUUCAAAAUCUUUUCAAAAAUAAUUAAUUAAAAUCACAAAAAAAAAAACUUAAAUAAAAGUGCAAUAAAAUAAAGAGCAAAUAGAAGAAAAUUGUAAAUUAUUUUUAUAGUGGUUUAACAACUCACCUAUGUCUACUCUCCUAAAUCUCCUAACGGAGUGAUGAUUCCAUUACCAAGGCUUCAAUCCAAGUCUUCAAUGUUUACCAAUAAAUUCAUCGACUCCAAUGGAUUCUAUAAUCUCUUCAAGUUUUUCACCAACUUUAAGUCUAUAUCACUUAAGAAAGAAUAAGUAGAUGAAUUUUUUUAUAGUCUUAACCCUAGUACAAAUAUAGCUCAAUACACAAAGAACACUAUGAUGAACUAAAGGGUGCACUAAAGGAUUUGCAAAUUUGGAAUAAAUUCACUUAAAUGAAGAGCUUUGAAAGAAGGAAAGUAAGUGAAUAUGAAAUCAAUGCAAGUGCUCUCUUCUUCUUACAUGAAAGAAAGUUCUUCAAUUCAUAGAAAAUCACCUCAAGCAUCUAAAAUAGCAUGAAAGGCCUUGAUUGAUCGAGGACUGAUUGAGUUCUUAUUCAAUCGAUUGACCAGUUGUUGGUGUAUUUAAUGCAUAGCAAGUGAUCGAUUAGCCAAUUAUUGGUGCAUUAAUGCAUAACAAGUGAUCCUUGGCACUUUUAAUACUCAACCCAUCAUACAUCAACUACUAAAAAAAAAAAAAAUUACAAGCUCAACUAGUUCUCAACUAGGAAAGCCCAUAGAUUGAGUCAAUUUCCUAACCAAUUCAAUCGGUUCUAGGAACCCUUAGCUAGUUGCACCAAAAAGUAGCCAAAAUGGUUCUAAUUUUCGCUUUAAGCCUCCAAUGACUUGUGUAUCCCUUCUUAAAGCCUUUAUAAGUUAUUUUUGAAAGAAUUAAACCUUAGGUUUUGAAAUAAAAAUCAUGCUCAUCCACUUCAAAAAUAAAUGGUGACUUUUAAGCUUAGGCGAGGAUGAAUAAAAAAUAGUUUAGAAGUGCAUAAAAUUUUUUGAACCUAAGUGCACCAAUGAAACUCAUCUUAUCGAGAAACCUAGACAACUUGAGUCUUCAAGUGAUCCAUUUCUUCAUGACUUUUGGAUUUUGCACAAUGGUACUUGAGCUUCCGUUACAAAUCAUCAUUGAAACCUAAAAACUUCACUUGAUUUGAACUUGUUAGUAUAUUUAACCUUGUUUUGUAACCAUUAAAAUAUAAUUAGGAGAAUCUUUGUGCUAACAAUCUCCCCAUUUUUUAUAAUGACAAAACUAGGUUAUCUAGGAAUGAGAAAAAGAAGAUUUCCCCCUCAAACUAUUCAUAAACGAAAUCAAGUAAAGCUCAAAGAAUUUGGAUAGAUCUCACAACUAGUUAAACAAUACCAUUUACCAAAACCUCAAUAAGGAACAAGUACAUUAGCACUUGUGAAUAGAUCAUGAUAUCCAUACAAUAUUAAUUAUCAUCAUCAAGAUAUCAAACUAUAGUUAGGAUAAAUGGAAAAUCAAAAUAUUCAACAUGAGUAAUAAGCACAUAUCCAAGUAUCCAAAACAAGAUCAUGUCAUAAUAUCCAAAAGAUAUUAUCAAUGUUAGGAAGUGUCCUAAAUUCCUAAUUAGUAUAGAUUCCUUUUUGUAAAGAAUAUUAUAUAGAAUAUUUCUAGGUUGAUAUAUUAUUGUAAUAUUAGACUUCCUUAUAGAAUAAGGAAGGUUGUUGGAAAUAUCUCUAUAAAUAUUCUAGGUCAUGAGGGGAAAAAGUUAUGAGAUGGAGAUGGACCUGUAGAGACUAUAUGAGGUGGAUAGAGAUGUGAAGAAGAACGGGAGGUACUCGGUGGAGCGAGAGGACUCGUAGUAAGGUAUGGAUACAACGAGUGGGGAUACAUGGGAUGUUUCGGGAACCCAAUAAUUGUAUCCGGUUUUGUCCUCUAUAAUAUUCUCUAUUGUAUAAUGGAAUCAUUAUCUCUCAUCCGUGGACAUAGGCAUGGUUGGCCGAACCACGUUAAAACCUCGUGUACCGUAUGUGUGAUUGUUUUAUCUUUGUGUUCUCGAACUAACAUUGUUGGCAUCAGAGCUUUUGUUAGCACUACAACUAGUAUCAGAGCUUGGGUUGAAGAUUUCUGGAAGAGUAAAAGAUCACAAAACAUAUAAGAUGAAAACAAAAAGAAUUUUCAUUGAAGGUGGAGUCGAUUGCUCUUUCAUGGCGAUAUGAUACAAAAAGGUUUGUGUCAUGGAGAGAUUGAAGAUUAACUUCAUGGAAUUUGGUAAAAGGUGGAGAUUGUUAGGAAGUGUCCCAAAUUCCUAAUUAGUAUAGAUUCAUUUUUGCAAAGAAUAUUAUAUAGAAUAUUUUUAGGUUGAUAUAUUAUUGUAAUUUUAGACUUCCUUAUAGAAUAAGGAAGAUUGUUGGAAAUAUCUCUAUAAAUAUUCUAGGUCAUGAGGGGAAUAAGUUAUGAGAUGGAGAUGGACCUAUAGAGACUAUACGAGGUGGAUAGAGAUGUGAGGAAGAACGGGAGGUACCCGAUAAAGCGAGAGGGCUCGUAGUAAGGUAUGGAUACAACGAGUGGGGAAACAUGGGAUGUUUCGGGAACCCAAUAGUUGUAUCCGGUUUUGUCCUCUAUAAUAUUCUCUAUUGUAUAGUGGAAUCAUUAUCUCUCAUCCGUGGAGGUAGGCAUGGUUGGCCGAACCACGUUAAAACCUCGUGUACCGUAUGUGUGAUUGUUUUAUCUUUGUGUUCUCGAACUAACAUUGUUGGCAUCAGAGCUUUCGUUGGCACUACAAUCAAAACUAGGACUACUCAUCCUAGUUCUAGUGGGACUCUUCAUGAUAGGUUGUGGCACCAACUACUCCUGCUAAGACUAUAAGUCAUACUCAGACUACAAAUACAAUUACAAUAUGAAUAAGACUCCUACGCAUACUAGGCUCAUAAUUCCGCUUUGAGUUCAACUCUUCAUGUUGCUACCAUAUGCAUCUAUAUAUAGCUCAUGUGUCUUCCAAGCUCUCUUUUGGUCUAGACAUCUAAGUCACAUCCAUGUCGAGGCUACAUGUCCUUGCACUCAUCAUGUUAUUUUUGUGUGUGCCCAUAGGAACAACUCUUAUACAUGCCAAGCCUUCUUCUCAUUUAAUUCAUAUCCACACCUAGACAACCAACUAUCCCUAUACUCAUGCCCUAUGUCGUUGUACUCAUGGGUUGCAUCUCAUCCUAGCUCCUUGCCCAUGGUUGUAUGCUUUAGAAAAGGUUAAUACCACCCCUUGCUCAUGUUUGAAGCCCACGCUUCUUCCUAUUGAUGCUAUGGCACCAUGCCACAUCCCAUUCUUUCUUGGUAUAGCAACAAGUCAUGGCAUUGUGCCUAUGACUCCUUAUUCAUGCACAAGGCAUUGCACCCCUUGUGUAUAGCAUCCUAUAUUGUGUCUUGAGUCGACUUCGUUGUUAUCUAUGCCACAUCCAAGCAACAAGCCAUGGCAUUGGGUCCAUGGCUCUUCAAGCCACCCCACACAAGGCAUUAAGCCCUUAUACUAUCAUCGGGAGGAGAGUUCACAUCACUCCCUAUGUCAUUAUUGCCACAAGUUGCACACCACCACAUGUCAUAGAGCCCAUGUGUGGGUGCCAACAAGGCUUGCCCCAUGUGCCUUACUCAUGUCAAAAGCCUUACACUAAGGCCUCUAGGUGUAGCCAUGCCCAAGCCACCAUGCCUCACCUUGAGUCACCUACUUGCCCCUCCCUACCCUCCUUAAAUAGUUUUAGGUCAUUUGAAAGUUUUUAGAGGAAACAUCACAUAUUCUUGAGGAGGAAAUACAAGACCUAUUAUGCGUAUGCCCCAUGCAUACACGUGAACUAUUGUGUGUGCGACUUAUUGUGUGCACGCCUCAUGCAUUAACUACUCACAUUCACCCAAGUGUUGUCACCUUUUUGCCUAUUUGAUGCCACAAACCCUUCAUUACGUUGUAGUUUCCCUAAGGGCUUCCCUCAUGGGUGUAAGGUGUUUACCCAUGAGACCUUUAUUGUCGUAUGGUCCAUGUCAAGGGGCUAAUAAUAAUCUUACUCCCAUAACCCAUAUUGGUGUUGUUUCAUUUUCUCCAUCUCUCACCCUUCGUAAUGGCCUUUAUGCGUCCAACUUAGCAUAAUGGAGCAAGUAGAUCGUCAUUUUAUGACCUAGGACCUUUAUUACUUUGUUUUUUUGCACUUUGAUUUAGUUGUUGUGUUGCUAACACAAUGGUUUCAAUGUUUGGUUGCCCUAUCCAACCACAUCCUAUUGCCUUUCUUCUUGUAAAAUGAGAGAAUAUGCUCAAUUCACAUUAGAAAAAGGGUUCAUAAGCAAAAUUUGUCCAUGUACAACAAAAUAUGAUUUAUUUAAACCCAUCAAUAAUUGAAUGAGAUGGUAUUACUAUUGAUAAUCUACCAAGGCCUUUUUUGCUAAGCACAUAUAUGUGGAAAAAAAUUGCAAAUUUGCAAGUUCAUCCCAUAAAGCUUUUAGUCGAGUAUAAUUGGUAACAAUAGAAAGUUGUUCUUGUCUUAGAGAGAUAAUAUCUCUCUCAAUUUGAAGGAAGCGAAGGGUAUUGAGUUGAGAAAAAUGCUCCUUUAGAUCAGACCAAAUUUUGACUCUUAUAUCUACAUAAAAAACAUUAUUGGCAAAAUCUUGAGAUAAAGAAUGGAGGAUCUAAGUUACCAUAUUGUUGUAAUGAUUCCACAUAUCAUAGGUUGAAUCCGUUGAAAAGGGUUUUGUGGUCAAUCCAUCAAUGAAGCCCACUUUGUUCUUUGAACUCAAGGCUAUAAGCAUAGCCCUACUCCUAGUUGAGUAGUUUUCACUCAAUGUUUUCAUAACUAAACUCAUUGAACCACAAAAAUUAACGAUUGUAGUUUGGUCGUCCAGUGUUUCAAGUGAUGGUUGAACUACAAUCGAACUAAUAAUUUUAUAAAUAUAUCAUUUACAUUAUUAAAAUUAAAAAUAAUUAUAAAUUUUUAGAUUAUAUAUAAAGUAAUUAAAAAUAAUAAUAUUCAUUUUUCAUUUUUGAUAUUAUCAAAUAAAUUAUGAAUAAAUAUAAAUUUAUUAUUAUUUUAAAUUUUAUGAAAUAAUAUAUAUAUAUAACAUUUAAAUAUGAAGAAUAUAUUAAAAUAGAAGAGAAUUAUUUUAUUUAUAUUUAUUUUACUUAUAAUAUAUUAUCUUACUCAUAUUUUUUAAAAUACUAUUUAUUGUAAAAAAAAUUAAAAUAAUUAUGAUAUUUUAUUUUGGGUUUGAAACAUUUUAAUAUAAUAAUUAUUAGCAACAAAGUGGUCCCCAUCCCAUCUCAUGAUCAAUUAUGGUUGGGCUUCCAUUGACCUUACCACAUCAAAAGCACACAAGUAUGAGGAAGCCUUUAAAUUAAAUGAGAAUGCUUUUGAAUUCUCCAUUGCAUGAUCAGUUAAACAACCAAGAUAGCCCAAAGUGGAGCCUAGUAGGAGCCUCAUAUUAUGGCUAGGCUUCCAUUGACCUUAAUAAUGUGAAGUGAGCUUCCACCUACUCUUUUGCCAAGGAAAGAAAAAGGUUUGGCCAACCUGAACUAGCAAACCAGUUCAUCGUCAAAAGGUUGAACAAUUAAUUUGUUCGAUUCAAGGUUGAUUCAAUAUGUACUUCGGCCCAAAGGUUGGACUAAACUAGAUUAAGCUCCGAUCAACGGUUUGACCAAUUAGACCGGCUAGUUUGGUCCAAUUUUUAAAAUAUUUUUUUCACCCAUUAAAGUGCUAGGACUAAUAUUCUAUUACAACAAGCGUGGCACAUUAAAAAUUUUAGUCUUCUUCUCAUAUAACAAGAAUACAUGUAAAGUAUUUUUAAAAUUGCCCCCGUUGCCAUGAUAUUAUAAUGAAAUCAAAAUAAAACAUUUAAAAAAGUUAAUGAGAAUAAAAUUAUAAUAAAUUUUAUAAUUUUCAUGAAUAUUUUGAAAUCAAUCAACAAAAAAAGAAAGAAAAGAAAUUGUAUAAUAAAACAAAUUAGGAUAAUAAUCUUGAGUUUACUCCAUAUAGUGAAAAAUAAGUUAUUUAGGGUCCGUUUGAAAACUGUUUUGAAAAACACUUUUCUAUUCUUCGAAUUAAAAAAAACACAGAAAACACGUUUGAUAACAAAAAACUGUUUUAUGUUUUAUAUUCUUAAGAAUAAAAAAAUACGAUAUUUUUAAAUAAUAUCUUUUAAUUGUUUUAUGAUGUUUUCACUUAUUUUUUAAGGACUAUUUUAAAAAAUAAUUAUACAAAUAUAUUGAAUGAUUAAAAAUAAAACACUACAUAUAAAAACACUAUGUUUUUAAAAUAUUAAAAAUAUUUUAGGUUUUCAAAUAGACUUUUAUUUUAUAAAAAUUUAAAAAUAAUUUUUAAAAACUAUUUUUAAAAAUUAAUUUUUAAAAUAAUUAUCAAACAUACCCUUAUAUUUUGACGAGAGACAAUUAUUUGAUCGUAGAUAUGUCUUAAAUAAGAUUUAAAAACUAUAAAGCAUUGUUAUAUUAGUAAAUGAUUAGCAUGGAAAAGUCAAGUAAAAUCCAAAAUCAUCUCCCCAUAUUCACAAAAUCCAAACCCCACUUCAAAGCUGAAUCCAAUCCCUCUUAACCAACUAGAAGACCAAGUGCAGCUAUACCUACUUCAUCUGUCCUCUAUCCCCAAUUUUCCUUCAACUUUGUCCCUAAAAUUCAACCUCUGGAAUUCUUUUUCUUUGAAUUGAACCGUUGGGAUUCUCCUGGCAGGACUUCCACUCUUCCAUGAUUUUGCCCUCCUCGUAAUAAUUCCCAACCAAGCUUCUUUCUUAAGGCAGAGAAUCCAUUGGGGUUUUCGAAUGGAGGAAGUCAAGCAUCUAAUCUUUAUACUAAGAACCUAAAAAAUUAAGAAUUUUGUUGAGUCUUGAAUCCGUGUGUUGAAAAGGGGAUGAUUCACAUUGUAGCACCCCAGUAUCUUUCAGAUCCCAUUAUUUUAUAUAUUAGUUAAUUUUUAUAUUUUAUAUUUAAUGGAUUUAAAAAAUAUUUUAAAUCUUUUUAAUACUUAAAAAAUAAUAAUUUUUAAGAAUUAGAAAAUUUUAAAUAUUUUUCAUAAUCAAUAUUAAAUAAACUUUUAAUCUCAUUAUUGAUAUAUAUAUAUUUUAUUUUUUUAUACUUAUUUUAUUUAUUUAUAUUAUUAUUUAAUAAUUUAAAUUUCUAAUAAACGAAAAAGCGUGAAAUGCGUAAGGAGAGUCCUGAGUGAGGACAGAGGAGCCAUGGGUUCAAAACUCGGGAAAGAAGGGUGGGACCACUUUAAGUGAUAUUUCAUUAUUUUGAUGAACUUUUCAAGAUAUCAAAGGAGGUGGGCCCAUGAAAAGAACCAGUCGAUGGCACGUCUUCAGUCUUGCUGGCUGAUGAUUUCUUUUAUAGUGGAGUUUUGUGCACAUAUAUUCAAAGUUUUGCCUCGAGACUACUUUAUGCGUCCAUUAUGGCAUUUGAACUACCAAUUUGGUGUGGGCCAUGUGGUUGGACAAUCCACCAUACUCUUAAAAUGAUAAUAAGGGUAUAUUGUUUUAAAUAUAUAAUUUAAGGAGAGGAUUUUCCAAUAUUUUAACAAAUAUGAUAAAUAUGGUCAGCUUAAAAAAAUAAUAAUAAGAAUAUAAAUGAGAUAAUCACGUAAAAAAAAAUCCAAUUAUUGCAUCUUUUUAUUAACUUCUCAAACUAUAUAUUAAAAUAUAAGUAUUAAUGUUACAUACCAAACUUUGUUAUAUAAAUUCAAAAAGAGGAUAAAAAUUCCAGACUGGGGCAUGGCACGUGGAAAGGGUAAAAGGACGGACCAUUUUGGUACUAAUUCUUCAAUGAACUUUUUGACAAAUCCUAUUUGGAGGUUUUUUUAUUUAUUUUUAUUUUUUGAAAUAAAAACUGAAAUAUUAAAGCACUGGACCAAUUCAGACCCAUGGCUGAAUCACCCACGAAUUUAAUGAUUCUGACAAGACAAUCAAAACCCAUGGCUGAAUCUCGAAGUCCUGGUAUGACAUUGCUGAUAAUUCAAUAAAAAAAUAAUAAAAAUAAAAAUGUUUAAGAUUCUUUUGAAUCUUAGUUCACACUUUGAGGAUUGACAUUCAGAUUGAUGGAAAAGGUUGCACCACCGCCACGUUCCACUCAUGUUAUCAUGAAUAUGAUCAUGCUUUAUGUUGUGGUGGGGAGACGCCCAAUAGAGCAAACCUCUUUUUCUUCUUCCAUUUAUCUUCCCCCUUUUUUCUUUUUUCUUUUUUCUUUAUUUAUUUAUUUAUUUAUUUAUCCUCAACGUGUCAAGAGUGUCGUUGAAAAAGUACAAGAUUAUUGUAAGUUUAAAAUAACGUUAUUUAAUUAUAGUAAAUUUAACCGUUGAGGUAACUCGUGAUAGCCGUACAAAAUAGUCAAAUCGAGUCAUAUAAUGAACUUCAUCUAAUAUAGGGCUUGUAGCUUAGGCGGGUGGUUUAGAUUGGUGCUUAACCCAAGGUCAAUUAGAAUUAAAAUAUAAUUAAUCCAACUUCAAUUCAACCCCAAUUAUAAUCGAGAUACUUAAUUUAAGAUUAAUUCAAUCUUAUUUUUUUUAAACUUGAAUUGAGUUUAACAGGUUAUGUAUUUGAAAAUUUAUCUAUAAUAUUUUUAAAAACUUUUUAAUGUAUUUAUAUGUAAAUUUAAAUAAUAUAUAAAAUAAAAUUUCAAGAUAACAAUAAAAUAAUAAACAUAAAUUUAUAUAUAUUUCUAAAAAAGUAAUAUAUAUAUAUAUGAUGUCGUAUAUAAUUUGAUAUUUUUUUCUUAAAAAUAGAAAAAGAAAAUACAUAUUAUGGAUAAUAUACAUUAUCAAUAUUAUAAAAACGUUAAAUUGGGUCGGGUUAAGUUGGAGUUAUUUGAACCUUAACCCAAACCUAACCAAAAUUGAGGUCAAAUUGAAAAAAAAUGUAACCCAAGCCUAACUCGAGUUUUAAAAAUAAUUGUUCAAAUUGCCCAAAUAUCGAAUUAGAUUUAGGUUAGGUUAGGUCAACCCAUUCAAGUUACACCCCUAAUUUAAUAUAACCAUUUACUAAUUCCAAACUGAAAAUUAAAUUCAUUAUGAAAUUUAUUUAUUACAUUAAUACUAUUGUUAAGUAGACUUUUUUUUUAAAUCUUUUUCUUUUUUAUUUUCCCCUCUUUCACGAUAUACAAACUUCAUGUCAUGCUAAUAGAAAGUUUUGAUUCAUUAUAAAAGUAUACUAUCGUGAUUAAUUUAUGAAAAUUAGAAUACAUUUGAUAGUGAUUUUAGAAAGUGUUUUUAGUCAUUUUUAUGUUUGAAAGAUAAAAAAUUUUAAUUGUUAAAAGAAGUAGAAAUACUUCCUAAAUCAUUGUUAAACGCAUUUUUUUAUGGUCGAGACUUUGAUAUUAAUGGUCAUACAAAUGGUACAAUUUUAUAAAAAUAUUGAUAUUGAUAUUGAUAAAAAAAAUUAUGAAAAUUGACAUUGAAAAUAAAAAUCUAAGAUUAAAUUUUGAGAAAUCUAUUUGAAAAUAGAUAUGCAUAAAUUAAACUAGUUUUUAAUAAGAUAUGCAAGACAAAAUUAGCGUUAUUGGUGAAUAUAAUAUAUGAUUUAAAAUUAAAUAUUAACAUAGAAAUAAAAAAAUUAUUUUAUUAAAUUUCAACAUUGGAAAACCAAUAUUAAUACAAGUAAGCACAAAAAUAUAGAGAUAAAAAUAAAUAAGAAUAAAAAAAUAAAUAAAAAAAGAAGCCAUUCACGCUAAGAUAAAAAAACUUCUACAGCAUUUCAAUUAUAUGGAUUAAAGAGAAUUAUUGUAUUAUUUUAUAAAUAAUAUUAUAAAGAACAAAAGCAAUAAGUAUAAUAGUAUAUUAAGGGUCUAUUUGCUAACUAUUUUUUAGAACGAUAUUUUAUUAUCCAAAAAUAAAAAUAGGAAAACGCUAACCAACCACUAUUUUUUGUUUUUUGUUCUUAAGAAUAUGAAAUAUGUUGUUUUUAGAGAACAUUUUUUAAUUACUUUAUAUUGUUUUCUAUGGGUUGUUUUAAAAAAUAAUUAUACAAACAUGUAAAAUGAUUAAAAAUAAAAUAUUAGACUUAAAAAUUAUUUUUAAAAUGUAUUUAAAAAUAUUAAAAAUAGGUUAAAAACAUUUUUGGUUUUCAAAUAAACUUUUAUUUUAUAAAAUAUCAAAAAACUAUUUUCAAAAACUAUUUUUAAAACUAUUUUCGACGGUUACCAAAUAUACCCUAAGCCUUCAAUUUCACAUAUAUUUUCUUACUCUCAUAUUUAGGAUUUAAACCAUGACUCCUCAUCUUAUUACUAAAUAUAUAUAUAUAUAUAUAUAUAUAUAUAUAUAUAAAACUUGAGACCAAUAAUUUUAACAAUGAAUCAAAUUUCAUUAAGUUAAUAUUUUAUCUUUUAUCUGAUACACAUCUUCAUAGUUUAUGUGACUUUUCCACAUAUUCUUUUAUCAUACGAAUGACCCAUUUGCUAUGCAACUAGAGUUUAAGUCCAAAAUAAUCAAUUGGUAGAAAAAAAAAAUGGUAAGGAUGGUACAUAUCUCAAAAUAUUUAUCAAACUAAUCUUUUGCAUCCAUGUAAGCAUCCAUAUGGAUUUUUUUUCAAGUGUGUAAAACCACCGUUGAUGACUGUGAUUUUAAAAUUUUUAGGAAUAUCCUUAAAACCACAGUUUAUAACUGUGGUUUUACAAUUUUCCUUAAAACCACAGUUAGUAACUAUAGUUUCAAAAUUAUUUUUAGUUCACCCUUGUUUUAGUGGUAUUGUAAUUUUAAUAUUAUUUUUAAAAAUUUUUUAUCAUAAUAACCAUAAAAUCACAGUUAGUAAUUGUGGUUUUGAAAAUAUCCUUAAAAACCACAGUCCUAAACUGUGGUUUUACAAUUUUCUUUAAAACCACAAUUACUAAUUGUGGUGUUUCACAAAUAUCUUUAAGGGGAACUCAUGUAACCAUACAUCAACUAAAAAAAAAAUGAGAUUUUAAAAUUUUAUUUUUUUAUUUUUAAUUUUAGUGUAAAUUAUGGAUGUACCAAAAAUUUUUAACUAUAUACCAAAUUCUUCAAAUUGAUAAAUGGUAGUUUUUUCAUUCUUUUUUUCAUUCGUUCAUGUACAAAGUAUAUAUAAAGGGUAAUCACCAUUCUAAGAAUGAAAAAGAAUGAUACAAGGAAAGAACAACUAAUAUCCUAAUAUCUCAACUUUCCUAAUAUCUAAACAUUCAUAAUAUCUCAACACUGAAUAAUAUAAGGAAAGAAUUAUAAAAGGAAAGUAUUCCUAAUAUCUCAACAAUACGAAAUUUCCUUAAAGUUCUUUUUGGAGUGGGAAAAAUUUCUUAUAAUUUUCCAUUGUCAGUUUAAAAUUAUCUUUUUUACAAAUUAUCCUUAAUAAAUUUUUUCCUUACGAUUGUUUUAAAAUUAUAUCUAUAUUAUCUUUAUUUUUUCAUAUUUUCUUUGAAAUUUUGAGAAAAUAAUUUCGCAUGUAUUCCCAUAAAAAUUUAUAUAUUUAUGGUAAAUAAAAUAUUUAUUUGUUUUAUGAAUUUUAUCACAUAUGAAUUAAAGAAAAUUAUUUUUUCAUAUUAUUUUUUAAUUUUAAAAUAACUAAAUAAAUUAUUUAUAUUAUUUUAAAAAUUUUUAUUUUCAUAUAAAAAUUAAUGUCAAUGGUUAUGAUUUUAGGUUAUUCCUUAAUAAUGGUGGUUUUAUGGUUAUUAUGAUUAAAAAUAAUAUUAAAAUCAUAAUAUCAUUAAAACAUGGAUGAAUUAAAAAUAAUUUUAAAACCAUAGUUACCAAUUAUGGUUCUAAGGAAAAUUGUAAAACUACAUUCACAGACUGUGAUUUUAAAGAUAUUUCUUAAACUUUUAAAACCACAGUCAUUAAUGGUGGUUUUACACACUUAAAAAAAAAAAAUUCAUGUGUAUGUUUACGUAAAUAUAAAAGAUUAAUUUGACAAAUAUUUUAAGAUGGAUACUAUUCUUACCAUUUUUUUCUACCACUGGAUUAUUUUGAACUUAAACUCAUGCAACUAUCUAGGAAGUUAUGGAAUGUACCCUAGAAAAAUUGUCUAAACCAAAUCCUUCGUACCACAUUACUUUAUUAUGUUUUAGGGUCUCCUCAUGCGCAACAAUCCCCUUGGUGCACACUAUUCCCUAAUAUGCCAUGGUCUCUCAUGCUCACAAUCCUCUUUAUGUGCCAUACAUUCAAACUAUUCUAUCACAUCACUACUUCUACCUUCUAAAAUCCAAUAAAUUUAUUCGAGAGACUACACUUAUUCCUAAGAAUAAGUUAUGUACUUCAUGUAUUAUAUUCGGGCGAGAGAAUGACUAAUUUUAUGAUUAAUUAUUAUUUUAUAUUUUUACAAUUUUUUCACGUAGUCUAAGAAUGUGUUGAAUAGUAAUUUUAAAAUAUAUUUAUAAAUUUUUUAAUACUUAAAAAUUUUCAUUUUUUUAAAAUAUUAUAAAUACUUUUUAAAAUUACUGUAAAAUGUCCUCUAAAUCUUUUGACUGAGUUAUAAUAUUCUAUCUUAAUAUAUGCUUCUUUCCUCUUUCAACUAUCAUCACCUUAACACCUAAGGCUUCAAUAUCAUUUGUUAUGCUAGCAAUUAUAUAGGCCAAAAAUACACUUAUUUUGCCCGUGGAAACUUUAAUUCCAUGAAAGCACAAGAAUAUUAAGAUACAAAUAAAUUAUCCAUAUAAAAGUAAACAAUGUUUUAAUAUUGUUUAAUCAAGCACGGUGACAUCCACAUACGAGAGAAAUUGAUUCUAUUAUACCUUUAAGAAAAUAUUACCAAAAAAAAAAAAUUAUUUGAAAUAUCUAGUGUUCUUCUGCUCCUCAUAUUUAGGGCUAUUUGAUUAAAAAUGCUGACAUAUUUUUAAAUUUAUAAAUCUAAUCCUUCACAUAUUUCAACCUAAUAAUAGAUCCAUUUUUUACCAAAAAAAAAGAAAGAAAAAAACUUUUUUAUGUUUUUUUUUUUGGUAGAAGUAACAUUUUAGGACUUGCCUGAAAAUAAUCCAAAUGUUGGGCAUUUAUGUAAAAACGGGUUAGUUUUCCAAUUCAAAUGUAGAAGGUUAUUUUUACAAAUUUGAGAUUACUCAAUCCCUUUUAAUAAAAUAAUUUUUUUAUUCAUACAUGGAAGAAGUCUUUCUUGUUCUUCUUUUUCACGUCUUUACCUACUCGAUGUUGACUACACUUUAAGGACAUUAAAUAUCCAUUCCUAACUCACAAGACGGGUUUUGCAUAUUAAAUAUUUAAAAUAACUUUACGAUUGAAAUAAAAUCAAAACCCAAUACAAAUUUUUCCUUUUUUCAAAGAAAUAAACUUAUGUGGAAACUUAUUUCAUAUUAAUCAAAAUUUCAUUAGAUUAAGAUUUGUUAUGAUUUUGGCUUUAAUUUUGAACUAAAAAAAAAUGCCAAACAACAUUAUAAUGCUUUUAAUGUAUGACAAACAAAAAUUAUACAUAAGUUCCAAUUCUACACUCUCUUUUCUAACAGGCAAGAAAACAACUCACCCCUACUUACAAUAAAAUUUUAACCAGUCACCAUUUGAUGUGAAAUGAGUAGAGCAAAUCAAUGAGUAAAAGGGAGCUUAACAAAAUGGAAACAGGGAGGCAUCUUUUGAAGCAGGCCGCAUUUAAAUACUAUGUCAAGAGUUAGGAGACAACCAAAUUUAAACAAAGUUGAGGUCUAUACUUAUUAAAAUAAUACGGCUCUUUUCUUUGUUCUAAUUAAAAAUAAAUAAAUAAAAGAAAAAACAAAUCAUUCCUUGACUUUGUCCCAAACGUGAUCCAACAAAAUUUUUUAUAUAUAAGAUUUUUUUUUUUUUUUUAAAAAAAAAAACAUUUUUCUUACUUUCUAUUUUUAUUUUUAUUUUUUGUGAAAGGCAACAUCCAAACAAAACCUAACGGGGCUAGGGAUGGCAACAGGGCGGGUUUUUUCGGGUACCCGCCCCGCCCCGCCCCUAAUGGGACGGGGUUGAAAUUUAAUAAACGGGUUUUUAACGGGUAUGAGAUUUUUUUUUUAAACCCGGGGCGGGUUCGGGUAUUGCCCCAUCCCGCCCCGUUUACAUAUAAAAUCAAUUUUAAAAUUUAAUUUAAUUUAAAAUUUAAAAUUAAUUUUAUUUUACUAUUUUUAAUAUAUAGAUAAUAAUAAAAAAAUUAAUAAAAUAAGUUAUAAAAAAUAUAAUAAUUUUAUUAUUUAUUUUAAUGUAAUUAAAAAUUUUAAAAACAAAUUUUUAAAAAAAUUUAAAAAAAAAAAAAAAAGGAGGCUAAACGGGGCGGGGAUGGGAAUUAUUUUUAAUAAACGGGACGGGGUUGGGAUGGGAGCGACCCGUCCCGAACCCGCCCCGUUGCCAUUCCUAAACGGGGCUGCUUUUAUUUCACGAUAUUGACCGGCGCAAUCUCAUGCAUGACACCUUGUAAUAGAGAAUGGUAUUGAGUGGCAUCUUUCUCCCAUCGCCUCUUCCUUUACAAAAAAUAUCUUCGUUUCAAUAAAUCCCAACGCCCAUUUUGUGAUAUUAAUUAAUACAAAUUUGUACAUUUUGUUGGAUGUGUCGUUUUUAGGAAUUGAGACCCAUCACGGGGCCCAAUCAAAUUGGUUGAAUUUUCAUUACACUAUAGUGGGAGUUUGGCAUCCGAAGGAGGCCUAAAGUCCACCAAGGCCGAAAAGAGAACGCGUCAAUACAAGGGACUUUUCUCAAUAGUACAGUAGUUUAAAAAAGUUAUGCUUAAAUUAUUGUAGUAGAAGAAGUUAUUACAAAUAUAUGGUAGUUUUUGCCACAUAGGAGAGAGGAGAGAGGAGAGAGGGUGAGAGAGGAGAGUGGAGAGAGGAGAGAGGGUGAGAGAGAGGAGAGAGGAGAUAGGAGAUAGGGUGAACGGAUAUUACAAAAGGGAACUCGUCUCUUGAAGAGACGAGUUCCAUGAAAAAAAAAAUAUAUAUUUUUUUAAAAAAAUUCCCAUUNNNNNNNNNNNNNNNNNNNNNNNNNNNNNNNNNNNNNNNNNNNNNNNNNNNNNNNNNNNNNNNNNNNNNNNNNNNNNNNNNNNNNNNNNNNNNNNNNNNNNNNNNNNNNNNNNNNNNNNNNNNNNNNNNNNNNNNNNNNNNNNNNNNNNNNNNNNNNNNNNNNNNNNNNNNNNNNNNNNNNNNNNNNNNNNNNNNNNNNNNNNNNNNNNNNNNNNNNNNNNNNNNNNNNNNNNNNNNNNNNNNNNNNNNNNNNNNNNNNNNNNNNNNNNNNNNNNNNNNNNNNNNNNNNNNNNNNNNNNUUAAAAAAAUCCCAAAUUAAAAAAAAAAAAAAAAAAAAAAAAAAAAAAAAAAAAAACCAAUUCCAAAGGGAACUCGUCUCUUCAGGAGACGAGUUCCCAUGUAAUUUUUUUUUUUUAAAUAUAUAUAUAAUAAUAAUAAUAAAAAAAAUAAAAAACAAUUCCUAAAGGGAACUCGUCUCUUCAAGAAACGAGUUCCCAUGUAAAAAAAUUAUAUUUUAAAAAAAAAAUUGUUUUUUUUUUUUUUUUUUUAAUUUGGGAUUUUUUUUAAAAAAAAAAAUAUUGUUUUUCCUAUGGGAAACUCGUCUCUUAAAAAAACGAGUUCCUUUAAGAAAAUUUUUUUUUAAAAAAAAAAAAUAUUUAAAAAAAAAAAAAAUUUUUUUCCNNNNNNNNNNNNNNNNNNNNNNNNNNNNNNNNNNNNNNNNNNNNNNNNNNNNNNNNNNNNNNNNNNNNNNNNNNNNNNNNNNNNNNNNNNNNNNNNNNNNUCCAUGAAAAAAGGCAAGAGAAAGAAAAGUUCCCAGGGAAUUUUAUUUAUUUUUAUUAAAUAUAUUUUUAAUUUAAAAAAAAUCCCAAAUUAAAUAAAAAAAAAUUUUCCUAAAGGGAAGUCGUCUCCGUGGUAAAAUUUUUAUUUUUUUUAAAUUUAUUUAUAAUUAAAAAAAAAUCGAAAAUGUAAAAUAAAAAAAAGUUUUUAAAGGGAAAAAAAUUAUUUAUAAAAAAAAAAUUUCAUUUAAAAAAUAUUUUAUUUAAUUUGGGAAAUUUUUUAAAAAAAAAAAAAAAAAUUUCCUAAAGGGAACUCGUCUCUUCAAGAGACGAGUUCCCUUUAGGAAAUUUUUUUUUAAACAAAAAAUAUAUUUAAAAAAAAUAAUAAUUUUUUUCCUAUGAAACUCGUCUAUUCAAGAGACGAGUUCCCUUUAGGAAAUUUUUUUUUUAAUAUGUAUAUUUUAAAAAAAAAUAUAUUUUUUUUUACAUGGGAACUCUUCAAGGUCUCUUGAAGAGACGAGUUCCCUUUAAGAAUUUUUUUUUUUUUUUUAAUUUGGGAUUUUUUUUAAAUAAAAAAUAUAUUUAAAAAAAAAAAUUUUUUUUCCCAAAGAGACGAGUUCCCUUUAGGAAAUUUUUUUUUUAUUUAAUUUGGGAUUUUUUUUAAAUAAAAAAUAUAUUUAAAAAAAAAAAAAAAUUUCCCUGGGAACUCGUCUUUCCCUUGUCUUUUUUCAAGAGACGAGUUCCCUUGAGUAAAUGGGAAUUUUUUAAAAAAAAUAUAUAUAUUUUUUUUCAUGGAACUCGUCUCUUCAAGAGACGAGUUCCCUUUUGUAAUAUCCGUUCACCCUAUCUCCUAUCUCCUCUCUCCUCUCUCACCCUCUCUCCUCUCUCCUCUCUCUUAUGUGGCAAAAACUACCAUAUAUUUGUAAUAACUUCUUCUACUACAAUAAUUUAAACAUAACUUUUUUAAACUACUGUACUAUUGAGAAAAGUCCUCAAUACAAGCAUACAAACCAUUCAAACAUUAUACACCACGCGGUAUACUUUGACGGCCUCCUCCGUCUUCCAUUCCCCCAUCCUCUGCUUCUCCUUUUUCAUCUUCUUCCAUUUUUUUUUUCAGUCCCCAUCUGGGGUGGAAUCCGAGAUAGAAUUGGAGGUGAGGUUGAUGGGAGUGCACCUCGGUGAAGCCACUGGGACUUUGAUCUUCUCUUCAUUUCUCUGUCUCAUGGGCGUCUCUCUCUGUUGCUUCCAAUGAGAAUUCUAGUCUUUUUGUGGCUCUUCUUCUUGCCCUUGUGCUCAGUCUUGUUUAGGAUCCAUAUCGCUUUGGUGUCCGGUGAAUGUCUUGGUGGUUCGAGGCUGUGUCUGGAGGAUGAGAAAUCGAUGUUGCUGCAGCUGAAGAACAGCCUCAAAUUCAAAUCUAAUGUGUCGAUGAAACUAGUGACGUGGAAUGAAAGUGUGGGUUGCUGUUCUUGGGAAGGUGUAACCUGGGACUCCAAUGGUCAUGUUGUCGGUCUUGAUCUGAGUAGCGAAUUGAUUUCUGGGGGAUUCAAUAGUUCCAGUAGUCUUUUUAGUCUACGGCAUCUCCAGCGCUUGAAUUUGGCCAACAACAGCUUCAAUUCUUCUCAAAUUCCAUCUGGAUUCGAUAAGCUUGGUAAUUUGACUUACCUGAAUUUGUCGGCAACUGGCUUCUAUGGGCAGAUUCCAAUUGAGAUUUCACGCUUGACGAGGUUGGUUACUAUUGAUUUCUCUAUCCUUUACUUCCCUGGAGUUCCAACACUGAAACUUGAGAACCCUAAUCUGAGAAUGCUGGUUCAGAACCUGGCUGAGCUUAGAGAACUCUAUCUUAAUGGUGUAAACAUAUCGGCACAAGGGAAGGAAUGGUGCCGGGCAUUAUCAUCUUCAGUGCCUAAUCUCCAAGUGCUGAGCUUGCCAAGCUGUUAUCUUUCUGGCCCUCUCGAUUCUUCUCUGCAGAAGCUUCGGUCUCUCUCAAGUAUUCGCCUGGACAGUAACAACUUCUCUGCUCCUGUUCCAGAAUUCCUAGCCAAUUUCUCGAAUUUGACUCAAUUGCGGCUCAGUUCUUGUGGAUUAUAUGGAACAUUUCCAGAAAAGAUCUUUCAGGUACCAACCCUUCAGAUUCUUGAUUUGUCAAACAACAAGUUGCUCCUGGGUUCUUUGCCGGAAUUCCCUCAGAAUGGAUCUCUAGAAACCUUGGUGCUCCCGGAUACAAAAUUUUCAGGGAAAGUACCAAACUCCAUAGGCAAUCUCAAGAGGUUGACUAGGAUAGAGCUUGCACGUUGCAAUUUCAGUGGGCCAAUCCCAAACUCCACGGCCAACCUUGCUCGAUUAGUUUACUUGGACUUGUCUGAAAACAAGUUUUCCGGUCCAAUCCCACCUUUUAGUUUGUCCAAGAACCUGACCCGAAUAAACCUUUCUCAUAAUCAUUUAACAGGUCCGAUUCCUUCCUCUCACUUGGAUGGCCUUGUGAAUCUAGUGACUCUUGACUUGAGUAAAAAUUCACUGAAUGGAAGUCUCCCCAUGCCCCUGUUUUCCCUCCCAUCACUGCAGAAGAUACAACUGAGCAACAACCAAUUUUCUGGUCCCUUGAGUAAAUUUUCGGUUGUGCCUUCUGUAUUGGACACUCUUGAUUUGAGUAGCAACAAUCUGGAAGGGCAAAUACCUGUAUCCAUCUUUGAUCUCCAGUGUCUUAGCAUCCUUGAUCUUUCUUCCAACAAAUUCAAUGGCACUGUUUUACUAAGCAGCUUUCAGAAACUUGGAAAUCUUACCACUCUUAGUCUGUCAUACAACAACUUGUCCAUCAAUUCAAGUGUUGGUAAUCCCACUUUGCCCCUGCUGUUGAAUCUUACCACAUUAAAAUUGGCUUCUUGCAAGCUCAGAACAUUACCUGAUCUUAGCACCCAGUCAAGAUUGACAUAUUUAGACCUUUCCGAUAACCAAAUUCCCGGGAGCAUACCUAAUUGGAUUCGGAAGAUUGGUAAUGGAUCUCUUUUGCAUUUGAAUCUCUCUCAUAAUUUACUGGAGGAUCUGCAGGAAACUUUCUCUAAUUUUACUCCUUCUCUGUCUAUCCUUGACCUACAUUCCAACCAGCUCCAUGGCCAAAUCCCCACUCCUCCCCAAUUUUGCAGCUAUGUGGAUUACUCAGACAACAGGUUCACCUCUUCCAUCCCAGAUGGUAUUGGUGUUUACAUUUCCUUCACUAUUUUCUUCUCUCUUUCGAAGAAUAACAUCACUGGAAGUAUUCCUAGAUCCAUCUGCAAUGCAACUUACCUGCAAGUUCUUGACUUCUCUAACAACAAUUUGAGUGGCAAAAUACCUUCAUGUUUAAUUGAGUAUGGGACUCUUGGGGUGCUGAAUCUACGGAGAAACAAUUUUAGUGGUGCUAUACCUGGGAAAUUUCC
rnacentral:lncRNA from 1 species